rnacentral:lncRNA from 1 species
CAGUUUGUGAAAAUGAAGAAAAAUAUGGGGUGUUGUUGUUGUUUUUUGUGAGAUGAGUGAAGAUCUUAUGGUGCUUACAAGGUUACUAUUAGAGAAAAAGAAAAUGAAAAGGAUGUGUUUGAGUGGAAGUUUAGAGUUGUUGUAUGAUUAUGGUUUAUGUGUAUUAUUAUGUUGUGGAAGUUGUAUUGAGCUUGUGGUUUUCAUGUUGGGUGUGAAAUAAAGGAGGAGAUUGAGGUGUGAGUUUAAGUUUGCAGAUCAUGUGGUAAGGUUUGUUGGAAGUUUCACGAUUAGUAUGGUGGUCACGGGUUGUUGUAUGGUGAAGUAUAUAGCCGUGAAAACUAUUGUUGGAGGUGGUUAUGGUGUUAUGUUAUUGUCAUGAAGAAGGAAUAAGAUGGAAAAUAAAAGCAUGAGGUUAGGGUCUUAAUGUGAAUGAUUAGAGGGAGUGUUUGAUAGUGAGUUAAAAAAGGAAGAUGGUUGUGUUUUUUGUAGGUUGUGAGUUUGAAGAAAAUGAUGUAUAUAGUUUGUGAGAUGGAGGUUAUUAUGGAGAUUAGUGGGAGCUUAUCACAACUUUGAUCAAGGUGAUAUGAGGUUGAUGAGAGGGACGAAGAGAGGAUAUGUCGAUAAGCAAUGAAGAAAUGAUUAGAAGUAAAGUGAAGAAAUUGUAGGUCAUGGUUUCUAGAAGAGAGAGAAGAGUUAGAGACGUAGUGAGGGAGAGAGAGAGAGCAGAGAAGGACGAUGCAGGAAGAGACGAUGCGAGAGGAGAGCAGAGAGAGAGAGAGAGAGAGAGGAAUUAGAGAUUUUUAGGAUGAGAAAGAAAAUCUUUUUUUAAGGUGGUGUGUGAGAGGAAGGAAAAAUAUCUGUUAUCGUGUUAGUAGAUCCACUCUCUUUUUGCUAGAUGUCACUUGGAGGGGUCUCUUUUGUGAAUACCAAAAUUGAUGGGUAUCUGAUAAAGAAGGACACGCAUUAGUUUGUUGGUGGAAUCCCCAUUCCAAACGUGUGUCCUUUCCCCUAAGGAAUGUAUCAAUAUUUUAUUUUUUCAUUUUCCACUCUCUCCAUUUGAGAGCGUCAAAAUGGAUCCCUCAUAUUGGUGGCCUUUUCCAACUCUUGUCAAUGGAAAAUAUAGUCCUCUCAUGUCUUAUUCUUUCCUUCAUUCCUUCUUAUCUUGUUUUCAAUCCUUUAGUUUUCAAAUUGAAUUUAUUUCCUUUUUUAUUUUGUUUUACGAAAAUAGGUUUAGUAAUGAAAUAAAAUAACAUAAAUUUAAUCUAAUUAUUCAAUUAAUUCUAAAUAAUUCUCCUGAUUAUUUUGGCUAAAAAAUAAAAUAAAAGGAUUAAAAAUGAAUAAAGAUCGGGCGCAAAAAUGCUCGAAAAAUUAAAAUGAAUACAUUACAAUGAUCUACGUGAAAUAAACCUCUGGGAAACAGAUAGGUUUUGAUCAAAUUUUGAAGUCUGCAAGCUCGAUUUCAAAACUUUUCGCCCACUAAUUUCACGUGCAUUUGAGAAUCAGUUCAAUCGGUCUGUUUGUAGAUCCGAAAAUUUAUUAUGGUUGACAUUUUAAGCAUUAUACAGAAUGAAAUGCAUGUUAUGAUAUGCAGAUGAUGUGAACGUCAUAGUGUAUGUCGCAACUUAUUUAAUGAGGGGAAAAUUAGGGUAUGACCGUUGCCCCUAUUUAAGUAUCUUCAACCAGAGAAUAUGAAGAAUGUCACUCUUCAUAUGAUUAUAGUGGGAGAUAGUUAAAUACUAAAGGACCUAAAUUUUGUCCCUUAAUGAAAUGAAAUGAAUGAUAUGAGAUGUUAUGAAUGUAUGGAGGACUCUUUUUGUUUUGCUUUGGAUAUGAAAUGUGAAGCAGACUCUUUGGGGAUUUCUGAGAUGGCUUGCUAAUGAGGUCCACUGGGGAUUAAAUGAAGUAAGGUGAAAUGACUGACUCAGGAUAUUUUGAGAAACAUGGUUAGUUUUGGCUUCUCAUAGAAUGAACCAAAGGGUUUUUAACAAUCUUUGUAAUAGAAUGGUAAGUUAUGGGUUCUCACGUAACAAAAGUGACUCGUUUUGCCUUCUCACAGAACAAAAUUAUUAAGUUAUAACAACAAAGGUAGGUUUUGAAAGUUCGUUAUAAUAGAAGUGAUGCUUUACGAGUUCUCACGUAACAAAAGAUGAAUGAGUUAUGACUUCUCACAUAACAAAAGUGGCUAGGUUACAGAAUCUCACAUAACCAAAAUGAAACGACUAUAGGUUCUCACAGAGAAAAGUAGUAGGUUAACGAAAAAAGAAGGUUCUGGAUUCUCACAGAACAAAAAUAAGGUUAUGGAUUCUCACAUAACCAAACAAAGAAAAGUAACGGAUUCUCGCGUAACGAAAAGAAAAAGUCAUGGAUUCUCACAGAAUAACAACAAAGGACAAGUUAUGGAUUAUCACAUAACAUUGAUGAAAAAGUCACGUUCUCUCACGUAAUGAAAAGAAAAGGUUCCAGAUUCUCACAGAACAACAAGAAAGGGCAGGUUAUGGAUUCUCACAUAACCAAAUAAUGAAAAGUUACAGAUUCUCGCGUAACAAAAGAAAGGUUUUUGGCUUCUCACAGAACAUACCAAAUAACAUCCGGUAAUAUAUCAGAUAAGUUUUGUAAAUUCAUCAUAACACAAAAUUCAUUCGGGAAUACAUUAGAGAGACAAGAGAAAUUGGACCUUAACAGAUAAACAUCAAUCUUUUAUAGGUGCAAACAAAGUUGGACUGUGACUAAAGGGUAAAAAAUUGAGAGUAACAAGUCUUUGGGAAGCUGCAUAUGAGUGUGAGGAACAUUUCAUGCUAUGCAUGAUUUAUGCAUUUUGCUUAUAUGCAUGAUGUAUAAAUGAUCAUGAUAUGAAAAUGCUGACUCUAUGCAGACUGGGAUUUACAAAGGCUAUUUAUGGAGGUUUCUAGACAACACUAGACUUUGAAAAAUGAACCACCAGACGAGAACUGGACUUGAAGGAUAGAUUACCAGACAUGAACUGGUGUUUUUUUGUUUUUUUUUUGUCAGACGAUAACUGCUCUCAGAUAGUCUACCGGACGAGAACUAGUUAUUUAUUUAUUUAUUGUUAGAUGAGAACUGACUUUAAAAUGGGCUACUAGAUAGGAACUGGAGUUAAAAAUAGCCUACCAGACUGGAAUUGGUUUUACAACUGGCCAGCAUACGGGAACCGGUUCAAGAAAAGGCUACCAAACAGGAAUUGGGUUUUAAAAAAAACUAACUGUCAGACGGGAACUAACUUUCAAAUAGUCUACCAGAUGAGAACUGGUUUUUUAUGCUUGCUCUUUCAUGUUAAGGGCAGACGCUCGACGAAUGAGAUGAUAUGCAUGACUUAGCGCUAGAGAGAAGCAAUAUGAUUAAUGCAUGAGAAUGAUUUAUGCAAUGACUUGAUGGUUUCCAAAGAUGCCCAUGUGUGGGUAUUGGAUGGAAGGUCCUCUUGCAGCAAAGCUUCUUGUCAAAAGGUAAAAGGUUAUUUGAUGGGGUGAUAUCAUGAUUCCCCGACACUCGUCUUGAAAUCAAUGGUUACUAACGUACGACAAAGUUUGCUUGAAUAGCUUGAAGGCAUGGAGAGGACUUUCCCCUCUAUGGCUCCUCUUGCCCCAGUCUGUUGGUUCUUUGAAGAUGUUUACCCUAAAAGGAGUUUGGAAGUAGCUUUCCAUGAGACAACCUCGAGAUGACUUGCCCUAAUGCUUGAAUCUUGAAGGGGUUCUUGAUUAACUAAGUCUUUGAGAAUUUGACUCAUUGUGCUCUUUGAGGUGGAUUGCCUCAACAUGAUCUUCGAAGUGAUUUUCCCCUGAUGUGCUCCUGAGGUGACUUGCCCCAGAAUGAGCCUUGGAAAGAUUUCAUCCUGGCUAGCUGACUCUUGGAGUGGUUAACUCGGUUUGACCAAUACUCAAUGUGAUUUGCCCCUGACUAGGCUUCUUUCUCUUGAUCAAGUUCCUCAACUGAUUACGCAUUGUUGGAAUUCCCUUUAUGCUAAAUGCUAACUUGCAAAUAAAAUAGUUCAUUUAAAAAUGGUAAUUUUAAUGUAGUGCUUAUGCAAAAUUUUGAAAUCAAAAUGUAUUGAUAUCAAUUUGGUAAAAUACAGUGAACGGGUAAAUGAUCAGAACACAAUGGUGAUACAACCAUUCAGAGUUUGCAAGAUUGUAACCAAUAUAAAUGAUUAGCAAAGAUAUUUUGGAGUCAGGUUAACACGACCUUGUUGUAGUAUGCUUUUAGAAUAAAAUCUGCAUCAAUUAGGUCUUUUAAGGGUUGUGACCUGGUCUGGUUCACGGUUUUCGAAAAAAAAAGGAUAUAAGGCUCAAAAUUCAUUUUAACCUACCCCUUCUUCUUUAUGAUUUCCAGCCCUAAUUUCAAUUAAACUGAAACCCACAUUAAAUUUUCAAUAGGGUUUGAAGGUGUAAGAUGAGGAUUCAAGAUGAAAUUUUCUUGAAAUGACAGUCACCUUAUUUUGUUUAUGAUGGAUGUUACUGACCCUUUAAUUCUCGAUAUGGUGGUCACUGAAUCUUGAUUUGCUUUGUUUGAGGAUUUAAACUACCUCUUUUGAAUUUGAUUUUUUUGAUUUUUUUAUCCCUAAUUUUGCCUCGACUACUUUUUUGAAGCUUUCGAUCCAUCGAGAUUGCCCUAAUUUUUGGCUAAGUCUCCUCUUUUGGAUGUUCGACAUAACGGGUUUUCUCUUUUGCUUAUUUUUUAAUAAAUUUUGUUGAAAGGUUGUGACUGCAAUGUUAUUGGUUAUUGAAGAACAAACGACAUAAUUUUUUAAUUUUUCGUGAUUUUUUCAACACUUCAUUGCGUGUGCGAAGAAUGACAUGUGGUUGAUCCCCAUACGUGAUGUAUUCUCUUGUAAUUUGAAUGCGUAGUCAAGAUAACUAAACACUAACCUACCCCAUAUUAAGCGUAAGGGUUUUUAGAUCCGAAGUAAACACCUAUUUUUAGGCUCAAAGUGGUUAACUAGGAAUUAACUCCUUAUCUGUUUAGUGUUUGGGGGUUUGAAACAAUCUAUAUACAUCAUCAGCGAGAUGUUAUCCGAUAGCAUACCAUCAACAAAUAUGAGUAUUUUGUUUUUGUAAUCCUCCCUCCAAUCUUUUCUAAACAAUAGCUUGAUAAAGAAAGUGAAUGGGAUAAAUAUGGAUAUGUUUUUUUUAUAUAAGAUAAGAAAAAUGAGUGAAUACGAAAUGAUUGAUUAAAAAAAUGCAUGAUCACUUCAUUAACAUUACCAUUUAAAACAACAAUGCUUAAUAACAAGUAACAUUUAACAACAAAGAAAUUACAAAUGCAAUGAUAAAAAUGCCCAAAGAUUGCCAAUGUUGAGGAUGUCUUCCCAUCUGAACUUAUUCGGGUGAGAGGUUGACGUUCACCACCAGGUUUCCAUAUGAAAAGGAAUAUGCUUCUUAUCUAUCAAUAGUUGAACCUUAGCUUUGAAAAUGUUAUAGUCUUCAUCGAGUGCUCUAUUGAGUCGACAUGAUAUCCACAUUGCGCAUCAGGAUCACACCCAGGUGGGUAUGGUUAUGGAAACAGCUUGAGAGAUUUGGGCUCCACCAAGGAGCUUUGAAUCAUAUCUGGUAGAAGUUGACUAUACGUCAUAGGAAUUGGAUUGGGAGGAUCAUUCCUUCUUUCCAUGUUGUUGCAAGGCCUAUGUUGGUUUUGACGCUUAUUCUAAUAUCCUCGACCCUGGGAUCGUUGAUUUGAAUGAUAAGCGAUCCAUGGUUGUCGGUAUAGAGCUCUAGGUAUUGUUGGUUGCCCAUAAGGAUAACAUGGCGGUGAGAAUGGUGAUUGUUGAAAAGAUGGGGAACCAUAAGGUCUGGUUGGUGAACCAUGAGAAUACCUAACAAUUUCCAUGAUUGCAUUAGUUUCAUCCUCAUCCUCCCCUUGGGAACUGCUAAGGGAUUCAGUCUCGCUAGCUUGGCUACUCGAGGUGCCUUAGAUUCUUCCACUUUUGAGGCCACUCUCGACGCGUUCUUCAAUUGUCACUAGGUGGGCGAAGCUCGAUGACACACUAAAUAUCAUUCUUUCGAAGUAUCAGCUAUGUAGGGUAUCCAUGAACAAGUUAACCAAUUCCCUAUUUAAGAGUAGUGAUUGCACUUGGGAUGCCAACUCUCUCCAUCGUUGUGCAUAUCCUUUGAAGGAUUCGUUUCUAUUUUAAGAUAAGCUUUGUAGUUGCCUUCAAUUUGGAGCCAUGUCUAAAUUGUACUUGUAUUGCUUCAAAAAGGCGUUGGCUAGGUCCAUCCAUGACUGAAUAUGGCUCCUUUCUUAUUUUAUGUACCAACUCAAUGAUGCCCCACUCAAACUGUCUUAAAAAUAGUGAACAAUCAGCUUAUCUUCGUGAGUAUCGGAGGCCAUUUUUCGACAGAACAUCACUAGGUAUGGAACUAAACACAAUUCAUCAAGUCUCAAUGCGAUAAAGACUUCCACGACCCUCACUCGUUUCUCUUGAUCACAAAAAAUUUCUGCAGCUUCAACAAUUUAAGGACGCUCCUCUUUUGUCAUCAGGUGGGCACUCUGAAAAAAUUGGCAUGUUCCUUAUUAAUUGAGGACCCCUUUCAUCAAUAUGAACAAUGGGGGUUCUUAUGCAUAAUGGGGACCUCAUUUGAUAUCGGGAUAUGCACAACCCGAGUUUGAGUAGGAACAUUCACAUUGUCAAGAGGAAGAUCGUACAUUGGGUUAGUUACCACGGUAAAUCCUGAUGACGGACCAACAUUCUUUGCAACAGCAUGCUGAUGAUUGCUUUUUGACAUAGCUAGUACAACUUCCAACAUAUGGUAUACCUGGCCUUUAAGUUUUCUAUGUUCCCUCUUAUCUCUGCUUGAUCCUGCUUCAAAUGCUCUACCGUCCUUUAACAGCUACCAUAGUUCAAUAUGUGCAUCCGGAAAUCAGCGACUGGUUAUGGACAAAAGGUGGGAUGAUUUUUUUUCUUCGGAAAAUGAUAUACAAUGCAUGCCGAUGAAUGCAGAUGCGUGAAAUUUGUUUUAAUAUGCAAAAAUGGAAUGCCAUGUUAUGUAGGUUUGCGAUGCAAUGUCACAUGCGGAUUCAGGAUGAUAUGAGUAAUAGAACCACAUAACCAACUAUUUAAGAGGUCUCCCUACAACGGGACGGUUCUAGGAUUUCUACCCAAAAACCAGUCACAUGAUAGUUUCUAGGUUAAUGGAUAAGGUUCCCAUAGUCAAGGACCUUAAUCGUAUCAACAUCCUGCAACAUUCCAUCUGUUUUAUGACGAGAGUGACAAAAUGGUCUAUUUUGGGCGGGGUUUUCAUGUUAGGUGCACAAGGAGUGGUCCUUGGAGACUAAAACUACGCAACCACAAAAGCAGAAAUUGGUUCUAAGAGGGGGUCCUAGAGUCACGAGCCCUUCAUGAAUCCAUGUUAUGCGAUGGGCUAUCCAUUUUAUAACGAGAUCUACGAAAAGGUCUACCCUAGAGGGAGUCUUCAUGCUAGGCACACAAGGAGUGGUCCUUGGGGACUAACACUACACAACUUCCAUCAUAAAUUUAUGUGUUCUCUCAUCUUUUUCCAAAGCUCGGGUGUAGAUAUUUACUCAAGAUAUCAUCCAAAAUCUCACAAAUAAGCAUGAUAAUGAGCAUAUAUAAUGACAAAAAAGAGAGAGCAAUAAAGGAAAACAAAUAAGCAAAGCAUAUAUAGCAUAAAGGAAACAAAUAAGUAAAGGCAACAAUGAUCGCAUAUUUAACUAAAUUAGGCUUAGCUCUCUCUUGCAUAGAGCAUUCUCCCCAGCAAAGUCGUCAAGUGUCGUACCUCGAAAAAUAUGAUCCUUCACAAAGAGUAUUGCAUGCUCGCAGAAAAAUGAUUUGAACAGAGUCGCCACCGAACUUUAUUUAUUCCAAUGAAGGAAAGGGAAAAUAUCGAUAAAAACUUUUAAAAAAGGAAGAUGGUCGUUGCAACCAAAUUCGGGUUCAGGAGUCAAUUACGCAAGGAGAAGGUAUUAGCACCCCUCACGUCUGUUGUACUCAACGAGAACCUUUUAGUUAAACUUGUGAUUGAAUGUUAGCUCAUAUCAAUUUUUAUCUUCAAAUUAUUAAAAGAGAAAAAGAAAGGAGUCGUAAAAAAAGUUUUUUUUAUUAAUGUGCCUAACGAGAUUGCGGGUCUCACUCCUAUGUAUCUAUGGGUACAAUGAGGAACUCAAAGCUCCGUAGUUCAAGUAGAAAAUGUUUGUUUGUUAGUCAAUUUUAGCGAAAGCUACUUAGUCGUAACCUAGUGGAAACCAUUGUGUGCUACCCAAAACAUGGAGAAGUGAACAUUCACAUCACAUCCAAAUGGAUAACAUAAUCCGGAUUCUCACAUAUUUGUUGUCGUGACAUUCAAGCGAAAAGCGUUCUAACUUCUUGCGUGUGUAUUAACAAAGUUUGCUUGCACCGUAUCGGCAUGGACGAAGCAUAUUUCAUUUAUGAAAAGGGUUUCGAGCGUGCGGGGGCGAGAAAAAGAGUUUGAUGUGUUGAAUGUUUUUAGGUAAAUGAUGAAUGCUUGGUGAGAACGAGACAUGAGCCUAAGGACCAAGGUGUUUAUAAAAAAAUUGAUGGAUAACGAAUGCUCCAUAAGAAUGAGACGUGUGCCUAGGAACUGAUUAUUCAAGGGUUCCAUCGGAAUCUAAGACUCCAACGGUCCUUUUCUAGUCCAAGUUUAUAUUAAGUGUCUUAGGAACGAAAGAAAUAAUACACGUCUAGCCCAAGAUGUGUGCCUCGGAAUCGAUUAUUCGAUGGUUCCACUGGAAUGCUAGACUCCAAUAGUCCUCUUAUUUCACGUUUAUUAAGAAAAGUUACUCGAUGUUGAUCGAGGUUUUUAUUUAUGUUGAAUCAGAACAGGAUGAAAUGAUUUGAAGGUUUAAAAAUGAUUGAGAAGUUGAGAUAGUGGAAAUGGUCAUGAUUUGGGAAAAUUACUCAACGAUGGAUCGAGUUCUUAUUUUUGUUCUUUUUGAAAUUGGUUGAUUUUACGCUAAUCUUAAAUUAACAAUUAACUAACAUAAUAAGAAUAAAAUAAAGGAAAACGGUAAAUUACUACACGUCAUGGGAAGGAGGGUGCAUUUUUUUGAGUGGGGAAUAAAAUACAAGGUCAUUAAACAAGUAAAUAAGGAGAUCAUUGUAAGAAGGCUUAAGAGAAAGCCACGGGACCGGAAAUAAACUGACUUCUAAAGUACUAAAUUUAGCUCUAAGCUAACUUUAAGGUAGAUUCAUGUAGGAAUCACUCUAUAAGAAGUCGAGCAAAAAAAUGAUAUUACAAAGUUGAAUUUCCAAUGCAAUGAGAAGUCCAACAACUUGAUAAACUAAUAUACAAUAUUUACAACAAAAAUAUAAAUCAAAACUUAAAGUAUUGAAUUUAUCUCUAAGCUAACUUAAGAAGGAUUCAUGUAGGAAUCACUCUAUAAGAAGUUGAGCAACCAACAAAAAUAUAAAUCAAAACUUAAAGUAUUGAAUUUAUCUCUAAGCUAACUUAAGAAGGAUUCAUGUAGGAAUCACUCUAUAAGAAGUUGAGCAACCGAAUCUAUACGUUCAAACAAUUUUUUGAAAUCUAAAUUGGAUUUAAGCUCCAAAAUAACAGCGCAAUAAAAUUGAUCUAACAAUUAAUCAAAUAAUCCACUUAGAAACGAGAAAAAGCAAAGAAUCAAUUAAUCUCUAAUUAACUAACAGUCACACCCCAAUUUUGACCUUGAAUCGUCGAAUCAAUGCAUUCAUCGAAUCAUUAACAUUAUAUGCAUAUCAUAACAUGCAUUUUGUCUCGCACAAUAUCCAAAUUGUCAGUCAGAAUAUUUUUUCGGAUUUAUAGACAGACCAGUCAAAUUGAAUCUCAAUUGUGCGUGAAAUCAAUGGACGAAAAUUUUCAAAGUCGAGCUUGCAGACGUCAAUUAUAUUAAUCUACAUUUCACGUAGUUUAAUAUAAACUACAUUAAUAUAAAUCAAAACUUGAUAAACUAAUAUACAAUAUUUACAACAAAAAUAUAAAUCAAAACUUAAAGUAUUGAAUUUAUCUCUAAGCUAACUUAAGAAGGAUUCAUGUAGGAAUCACUCUAUAAGAAGUUGAGCAACCAACAAAAAUAUAAAUCAAAACUUAAAGUAUUGAAUUUAUCUCUAAGCUAACUUAAGAAGGAUUCAUGUAGGAAUCACUCUAUAAGAAGUUGAGCAACCGAAUCUAUACGUUCAAACAAUUUUUUGAAAGCUAAAUUGGAUUUAAGCUCUGAAAUAGCAGCGCAAUAAAAUUGAUCUAACAAUUAAUCAAAUAAUCCACUUAGAAACGAGAAAAACCAAAGAAUAAAUUAAUCUCUAAUUAACUAACUGUCACACCCCAAUUUUGACCUUGAAUCGCCGAAUCAAUGCAUUCAUCGAAUUAUUAACAUUAUAUGCAUAUCAUAACAUGCAUUUUGUCUCGCACAAUAUCCAAAUUAUCAGUCAGAAUAUUUUUUCGGAUUUAUAGACAGACCAGUCAAAUUGAAUCUCAAUUGUGCGUAAAAUCAAUGGACGAAAAAUUUCAAAGUCGAGCUUGCAGACGUCAAUUAUAUUAAUCUACGUUUCACGUAGUUUAACCUAAUAUGCUCGUUUUAUUUUUUGACUACUAUUUCUGUCGUAUUUUAUUCAGUCUGAACAUUUUAACAGAUCAAAAUUUAUUUCAAAAUUAAAUCAAAUAUUGUAUAUUUUUGAGAAGUUUAUUUCACGCUGAUCAUUUUGGUGCAGUCAAUUUAUUUUUUUGGACGCAAACUUUUAUUUAUUUUGAGUCAUUUUAUUUUUGCAUUUUUUUUAGUGUCUAGAAAAAUUAAAUAGAAUUAUUGGUGUUUUUAUUAUAUUUUUAUUUUAGUUAUUUUUUAGUAUUUAAUUUUAUUUAGUUUUAGUUAAUACUAUUUAAUUUUGUCUCUAAAAUAAGCACCAAGGGCAUUUGUGGAUUUUCAAAAUUACUAAAAACCCUAACUAAUUUGUAUAUAUAGCAGUGAUGCUGAGAGGAGAGAGGAUAAAAAAAUGGAAAAGAAAAAGAUUGAAACACGUACACGGCACAAAUAAAGAGGAACAAGAGAAUCUCAUUCUUUUCAAAACCAAAAUAGACAGUGGUAAUAUUCCUUAUUGUUUGGAUCUGCUAUAGUUUUCCAUUGUUAUACUGUUAUGCUUGUUUUCUCUUUUUAAUAUAUAUAUAUAUAUAUAUAUAUAUAAGAUAACUAUACUAUAUUUUAAUUCCUGUUUAUUAAAAAUUAUUUUAUUUUUAUUAUAUGGCUUCAACGGAUUUGGGAAUUCAUGUUUUGAUUUUUUAAAAUAUUUUCCUUUCUUUCUUUUUUUUUUUUUUUCGUUGAUUGAUUUUUUUUUGGUGCNNNNNNNNNNNNNNNNNNNNNNNNNNNNNNNNNNNNNNNNNNNNNNNNNNNNNNNNNNNNNNNNNNNNNNNNNNNNNNNNNNNNNNNNNNNNNNNNNNNNNNNNNNNNNNNNNNNNNNNNNNNNNNNNNNNNNNNNNNNNNNNNNNNNNNNNNNNNNNNNNNNNNNNNNNNNNNNNNNNNNNNNNNNNNNNNNNNNNNNNNNNNNNNNNNNNNNNNNNNNNNNNNNNNNNNNNNNNNNNNNNNNNNNNNNNNNNNNNNNNNNNNNNNNNNNNNNNNNNNNNNNNNNNNNNNNNNNNNNNNNNNNNNNNNNNNNNNNNNNNNNNNNNNNNNNNNNNNNNNAUAUAUUUAUAUCGUAUUAAAUAUAUUUUUAUUAUAUGGUUCAGAUUGAAUCAUGUUGAUAUGUUGUUUGUACAUAGAUGUGUAUAAUGCGUGAUAUUUGUGUUGGUUUGAUCCGAUUGUGAUGAUCAUAUUUUUUUUCAUUAGCAACAUUGUUUUUUAGCACAUUAAAAAUUUAUUUUUGUUUGCGUUUUGUUUUUGAUAAAUUUAGAUCUGCACGAUUUUGAUCCAUAUUGCGAUGAUCACGUUAAGUGUAGCAAGUUAUUGGUUACUUUUAUCGGUUCACGUGUGGUAUUUUUAAUUGAUUAUCAUUGUGUUUUGACUUUGUACACGUGUCAGAUGGUUUAGCAUAGCGUCAAUCCGCUUUUUGUGCGCUUACCAAUUCACAUUUCAAUUUGCAACUUUGUGCUUUAAUUUGAUUUUUAUUAUAUUAUUGUUUCUUGAUUCGACUUGCGAUGACCGCUUAACGCGUUAGCAACUUGUGAUUUUUGAUUUGUGUUAAGAACAACGAUCCAACAUCACCAUGUUUAUAUUGAAUUAAAUUUCUCUUGGUAGCCUUGCACGUCUUCGCAUACGUGACUUUGAUCCGCGUCUUUGCGUCAUGAUUUUAAUCCGUGCACUUUUCUUUUCACCUUAAUUUUCUCGAUUCAUUUGUUGUGAAUUUGUGAUGUAAAUAUUGUGUAUGCUCUCUGGCGCAUUACGCGAAAAACCGGCGGGAAAACAAGAACAACAGAGCCGCCACCGUGCGUUAUUUAUCCCAAAAGAGGGAAAGGAAACGCUCAGAGUAAACCUGGGAAAAGACAUGGUCUCGCGACCAAAGCGGACAAUAGAGAAUGGGGAUCGGGAGUCCGGUUAUGCGAAGGAAGGUAUUCAGACCUACGCAUCCGUCGUACUCGACUGGAUCCGCGCACAAAGGACUGGAUGAAAUGGUUGCCUAAAACGCUGGCUGACACACACCCAACGGUGAAAGUAGACCAGAAAACGACAAGACUGCCGCAGGAAUAUUCCGCGCAUCCCCUGGGGCCCCACUUAGUCUAUCAGGCAAUGACAUCAGAGUGAAGUAGUUCGGUAACUGGGAAACGACACAGCUCGUAGGAUAAUGUCGCUGCCUAUGCAUACAGUAGCUCCUUGGACGAAGGAGAAUGCAGAGCAUUCGUAGUCUCGGCUGACACGCACGACAAAGACAUCAGGCAAGGGCAAAACGUGGAGCUGAAUGCCAAAUCACUGGAACUUACAUCAGCAUCCGACACAACAAAACCCAAGGAACCAACCUGCCAUCGUUGGAGUCUACUCGACUCCAACAGAACACACACAAGGUGGUUAAGACACAAGGGUGAAAAAGAAAAAGGGGCGCCGGAGAGAUCAGCUAUCUCAGCUAGUACUCAUGUGGUAUGAAGAUAGGGGCGACGUAGUUCACUGGCAGGGAAAGGAUAGCCUAACCAGAUAACAAGGUGAGACAUACAACUCUAGGAGACUACGACUCGAGCCUAGAUUUGUCAUGCAAAAUGUCCUAAGUUAAGGUUUACUAACUUUUGCACAGGAAGCAAGCCUAUCUAAUCAUGACUUCAGGAAGAAGAAGGGUCUCGAUGCAACUAGGGCAAGAGAAAGGGGGGAGGUUCAUCGUAACGAGGGGAGAGAAAAGAAUUAGUGUUAGUUGUGUUUAGUCAAACCGAUCAAGAACAUGUAUCUCGUGGACUACGUACUCAUAUGGACAAGAAAGCAAGUUGCUAGUCGGGGCAACUAUUCGGUGGUGUUGUGUGUUAUAAGUGGACAAAGUCACUGGCAAUCUACUGAAUCUCGACUUGAGACUUACCACUUGUGAAGUAGAAGGAGUUAACGUAUGCUUAAUAGAGGGAUAAGGUUUGUUUGUGUUAGGAAAGCUCAAGCAAGAAGGGAAGUUAUAGCGGAAGGAACCGUGUACCUAAUUGAUCAGCAAACGAGAUAUGUGGAGUUCUAAGCAAACUAGGGAUCGAUCACACUACACAAGCAAUAAGCAUGAACUAAACACACACAAGGGGCUAAACAUAGGCUAGGUUUAGUCGAGGGGUCCUAAAACUCAACAAACAACACUUGGAAUGGUAAGUGUUAGUCUGGUGUGUCCUUGUAAAAACGCUUUGCAUGAGGGGGCUAAGUGUAAAGCAGGAUAAAGGUAGUGUAAGAUGAGACUUCAACAGCUCUAUCCGUGGCCUGGGAGAGAUUACAGCAAGAAUGUGUGGGUUCAGAAAGUGGGGAACCUUCUAUAAGAUUUUGAUACAUUAGAGAGCAAAACUGUAAUUGACAAGAGGUAGGGAGUUGUCGUAUCAUGUCAAAUGCUCAAAACGUGGUGCUGAGUUUGCAAAGCAAGAUGAACACAAAAUAUGUCAGGGUAGUGUUGCAUAUCCCUGGUUAUCCAAUUAGCUCUUCACUUAGGAGGUUUGACUCUAUAUCAAGGACAAAUGUAAAACGAGUUAACAACUGGCCUCUAAGUGGAGGAUCAGACAGUUGCCUGGCAAGUAAAGGUCCAGGUCGUCAGAUACAGAAUGUUGAGAAAAUAUAACUGUUGCAAUGAAUGCUUAUCAAGCAAGCAAAGAAAAGUUUCACAGGAACUAAGAAUUAAAAGUAUUGAAUCAUCAGACACAUUAGUACACAAGUCAGGUGGUAAAUCAAACAACGAACAAAUAGUACAUGUCAACACAGCCUAAGUUAAUGUGCAGGCAAAAGGUUUAGCGCAUGUUGGACAAGCACCUAUAAAUACAAAUGGUAGUCUCAUGAGGUAACAAGCAUACCACACAAUUGUGUAGGUCUUCAUGGACAAUUCGAUUGGUCCCGAGUAAAGAUGAGCUCAAAUGUAGUAACAUGGACUCUAGGAGACUAGGGCAAAGGAACGAAUGCAAGUUAAAAAGAAGUGGGGACAAAAUACAUAAAAAAUCCAAUAGAGUUAACAAUAAGACAAACCAUUGGGUUUACUAGUUCAUAUCAUUCAUAUCAUGAUUUCCUUGAACAAAAGAAGUUAAAGCAGUAAUUUUAAAAGCUAGAGAGUAGGUACAGCAGAGAGUUGAAUCAAAAGCAAUCUUAAACAUUUCUCAUAAGAAUAUCAAAUACAAAUAGUUCGUUGAUGCUAACUCGUCACAACCAAAGCAUGUAAGGCAUGUCAAUAUUGCAUUCAGUUGACAAGUGACGAGUCAAUGAAUAACUAGAAUAGGCAGGCAUUUUUUGGAAUCUCAAAGAAUGUCACGCAACGUAAUACCUGAAAAUAAUCAUAAAUAGGAUUGGCGAUAGUGAUAAAUGUGAGGAGACUAAAAACCAGGCAAAAGCUUUAAGAGUCUAAGUAAUACAUAUUAAUUCAUGUCAAGUUGUGAUAGUAUGUAGCAUUUCACAAUGAAAGGGAGAAAUUUGGUCAGAGAAAAUUAGCAAGUAAGUCAUAUGACAAACAGUUACGGAAAAAACUUCACAACCAACCAGGGAAUAAUCACAAGAGGGAAUUCUUAAAGACACAAAGCACAGUGACACUAGCAGCUUAUAGGACUAUCUUGCAACAAGAUAAAUCAAAUUGAGGUAAGAGGCAUGGGAUCGAAAAUAGGCAGUUGGCAUCGUAAUGGUGUGACACAAGGUCACAUCGCUAUGAGAAGAUCAAUAACUCAAUAACCAGAGAAGAUAAUUCCAUGACCUAUUACAAAUCACAUGGAUUUUGAGUUGUGCACAAAUCAAGAGGCUAAAAGAUAAAACAGGAAUUUGCAAAAGGUUGUAAAGGUGGAAGAAUAUNGUUAAAUCAAAAUGAAACAAAAGUCCACAGUCAACACAAGCAAGUGAAUGUGCAAGGCACAAGGCUCUAGGCAUGUGAGCCAAGCAACCUACAAAACAAAACAUGUUAGUCAUGAUAAACAAGCAAACACAACCAAUUUGUAUUGGUCUCAUUGGACAAUUGUUGGUUAACCUGAAAAGAUGAGCUCAAAUGUGAGUAACAGGACCACUAGGACAAGCCUAGGGUCAAAAGGGAAUGAAAAAGUUAAAACAGCAAGUGGCAAGCAUCCAAAAUCAAGUUUAAACAAUCAAGAAACAAAACCAAUUGGUUUCACAUUCAUAUCAAUCAUCAUCAUCAUUUCAUGAACAAAAGAAGUCAAAGCAUGGCAUUUAAAAGCUCAUAGAAGUCAACAGCAAGACUUGAAUCAAAAGCAAUCUUAAACAUUUCCAAAAAUCAUCAAAUAAAUCAUGAUCAAUCACAACCCACAGCAUGGUAAGCAUGUCAAAUUUCAUCUCAUUUGGACAAGUGGAAGAUAGUCAAUGAAAAUCAGAAAGGCAAGGCAAUUUUGGACAUGCUCAAAGAAGUCAACCAAACAUACAUCAACUUGAAAAAAUCAUAAAUCAGGGAUGGCAUAUGAUAAAUGAAUGGGACUAAAACCAUGGCAAAGCUUAAGAUGUCUAGUAAUUACAUAUCAAAUUUCAUGUCCAUCUAAUAAAGUAUGAGCAUUUCACAAAUGAAAUGGGAACAUGUGUCACAAAAAGUCAACAUAAGACCAAACAGGGGAGAAAAAUCUCAAACAAUUAGGAAAUGCCACAAACAAUUCCAAGAAAAAUCACAGGUGAACUAGGCAUCCAUAAGUACAUUCAUGCAAAAAUUAAAUCCAAUUCGAGGUCAAGAGGCAUGGUAUUGAAAAUCAUCAAGUUGCACAUCAAUGGUGUGACACAAAUUGUCACACCCUACUUCAAAAAAUCAUAACUCAAUAACCAGAGAAGAUAAAUUCAUGAACUCUAUACCAAAAUCACCAUGGAUGUGUCUAGUUUGUGCACAAAAAAUUUCAAGAGCAAAAGAUAAAACAUGACUAUUUCACAAAGGUUUUGGUAAAAGGUGCAAAAUAUGGAUACAUGUCACAAUCCCUAAUACCAAUUAAAAACCAACCAUCCAAAAAUUCUGGAAAAAAUAUGACAAAAUAAUAGAGAUCAUGAUGAAUCAAAUGCAAAAAAUCCCAUUCAAAUUGGAUUAAAAAUGAUGGAGUUAUGAUUUUUGCAAGAUGAGCAUACAAAGAUGAAAUGAUUGUUGAAAACCAACAUAUUUUAAUGGGACAUGUGCCACGCUGAUGGCAAACUUGUAAAUAACUAUGCCACUAAUCCAAACGCGGCGUUUUGGCUGCUGAAAUGAAAUAAAACGAUUGGCCAACAUGAACUACAGUAGCAUGCAACGUGAAAUUCUGGGAAAUGUUAUGAAGCUAGGGUUUCCCAUGAACAGUGUUGUUCAUCUUCAACAACAAAAUCGAUUCAAACAAAAUUUUCCAGAAAUUGAAAUUGGGUAUACCAAAAUGACCAGCAAGCAUCCAGCAUUACAAAUCCAUCAUUCAUUUACAUUAAAACUAAGCAAGCAUCAUGAAUCGAGUGAAAAUACAUAUGAGCAACAAACUUGAAACCUAGAUUUCUCCUAAACUACUCAACCAUUUUCAACCAUUCAAAGCUCAAAGUGACCAGGGCAAGGAGAUCUACACAUGGCAUAACAUGAUUUUGAGAAAAAAUGGAUUCGAAAUCUUACUUGUUUUUGAAGCAAAUGGAGAAAUAGCUGGGAUUUGGUGAUGUCUUGCUGAAACAGCUACUCUACAGACCUUCAAAUGAUGAAUGAUGAAGAGGGUUUGGCUCAGAAAAGCUUGGGAUGGCACCAAUCUUGAACUGCCAUUGAUGGUGCUUGGAGAAAACAGUCACGAAAUAGGCUUUCCAGUUGGUGAUUCAAACUUGAAAUCAGCUCCAAAUGGAGAGUAUAUGAUGUAGCAAGCAAGGCAAUGUCAAGUGCUUCACAAUUUUUUCCACAAAAAUUCAAAGAUGGAAAGAUGGAGAUUUUGAGAGAGUGAGAAUUCUGUGUGCAAAAUGGCUGCUAGGGCUUCCUUUGAGCAGAAAAAAUGAUAUAUAUGUGUUGUUUAACAUGCUAAGCCUGAUUAAUUAACUUGGUAAUUGGCAAUUGGUCAUUUUUGUGUUUUUGCUAAUUUGCAACCAAGUUGGUGAUGGGUGUAUGUGCUGCACGAAAAUGGGCCUUCCACAAGUCUUAAACAACAUUUCAGACCAUAUUUGAAUGGCCAAAUGGAUUGGAAAUGAUUAAAUCAAAAAGUCAAAAUUUCACUUCACUUAAAAAUAAUUCAAGUAAGUCAAAAAAGGCCAUUUUGAUUUGUAAUGUUUUGGUGCAUGAUGGUUACAUUUUUGGAAAGAGGGGAUCAAAUGUGACUUGUUGGAAAAAACCCCACCCAAUUUGGCCAAAUGGUUUGAGAGAUAUGGCCUUUUGAAGUUCAAGAAUUUUUGAAAAUGAAUUGAUCAUAUCUUGCCAACCAUACAUGGGAAUUGAGAGUUCUUGGACUUUUUGGAAAUGGGAGAACAAGAUCUUCAACUUUCAUGUUGGGCAAAAAUUCAUUUGAAGCUUGUAUCAUGAUGUAGGUUUAGGAUCAAGAAGUUUCCAUUUUUUGGCAAAUUUCAAUUACAGGUCAAGUUUCUAUUUUUGGAAAUUUCUUGUCUUGCUUCAAAUUCUUCCAUGAUGAUGUUUGACAUGAUAUAUGAGGCCUAUAUGGACAUGAAGGAACCCUCUCAAACCAAUUCCCACCUUGAAAUCCAUAAAAUCAAACCCAGUUGACCAAGGUUGACUUUUUAGGGUUUCUGGCAAACUGUGCAUUGACUGAUGACUUCUGAACAUCCAAUCCUUGACCAAAACACUUCAAGAGGACCCCUAGGUCAUGUGAACAUGUUGGACCAACCCUAGUGUCAUACGGUGAACUGGACUUUUUUUGUGGUUUUAAUCGCAAUGUCGCGGUUAGCAAGAGUCGCCACCGACUUUUCUUUUAUCCAAUAAGGAAAGGUGGAAAAGAACAGGAAAAACCUUAAUUUAGAUUUUGGGUUCGGGAGGUACAUUAUACAAAGGGAAGGUGUUAGCACCCUUUGUAUCCAUGGUUAUCCAUGGGCUCUUAAUUGCUCGAUCACUUAUAUUAUUUUUGUCUGAAAAAAAGUGUUUGUGAAUUGUUUAGAAAAAUUGUUUUGAAAAGAGAAUUUAACUUUGUAAUGAUUCUUGUAUGAAUGUAUACAAAGUGAUUAUCUCGUUUAGUUUUGAAAAUUGUUUAGAAAAAUAUAACUCGGUAAUGAUUCUAGUAUGAAUGUAUACCAAGUGGUGAUUUUCUAAAGGCAUUUUGAAAGGUGUGAGGUGCAAAAAAAAUGUUUUAAGUUGUGAGCCAGCAAUUAAGAGUUAUACCGACCCAAGGUCUUUACGGGCAUUUCCUAUCCUUAUGAGGGUAAAACUGUCCUUAUUAUUGAGAAAUAAGUAGUUUUAUCCUUUGGAUGUAAAAGGGUCAUCGUAGGGUCAUCGAUUGGUCAUUGAAGGCAACAGUUACGAGGAUACCUUAGCAUUCGAAGGGACUAUCAUCUUUUAACCGUAGGCAACAUCGGAGGGUCAUCGAGGGACAAAGUUGUAUAUUCGAAGGCAACAUCCGAGGGACUAUAAUUUAUUUUAUGAUGAUUUAACCGAAGGGUCUUUGCUAAGGGUAUCCCCACGUUCGCGGGACAUGACCGUAAUAUCGUAAUCGUAAGGCAACAAAGAGAGGUCCAAGAUCACUUAUUCAAAGGCAAAGUUUUACAAUUAAUUAUAUAAUUAGGAUGAAACUCCACAUUAAAAUUAUUAAAAAUAAUAUAUUAAAAAAUUAAUACAUUAGAAAUUAAUACAUUAAAAAAUUAAUUUAGGGUGAAACUCCACAAGGGUAUCCCACAAAUAAAGUGGAAUACCUAGCCAAUAACCUUUUCCUGGGAUAUGUGAACCUUUACGAAACUCAAAAAAAAGAAACAUGUCAGAACACCAAAUCAGGGUGCAAUCGAAGAUUACACCGGAGAAAUAUCACAACAAUAAAUAGGAUAGGAUAAAUAAUGCAUGGCUAUGAUAAAAACAUAAAAAAAACAGACUAGAAGAAUCAGGUACUGUCUCGUUCGCCUCUGCCUCGCCUAGCGAAGGCCACGGAUUUUGAAUUUGAAAACAGCCCCAUGUUAGGAACUUUGAAUUUUAUGGCAUUUUAUCACAGGAAUAACAUGGUCAAACAUUCAGGGUAUUCAGGCAUAUUUAAAUUCCCAUACGAAAGCAAAUUAUAUAUCAACAUUUAAUCAUGAUGCAUUAUAUAUGUAGAUAUGGCCAAUUGAAAGUAUAAACAAUAGAGAUACGCAAACCUGUUUGCCAAUUCAAGGUUGAAGGGAUUGACCACUUGUAGUAUCGGAAUAAGUUAGGCAGCGGGAAUUGGACGGCGAUGGCUUCGGUGCAGAUGGGCUGCCUUCAGGGUUUCUUUACUCUGAAUUCUCCGGGUAGGCAGGGUUCCUAUGCCAAAACUUCUAUUCGUUCUUCUCUGUUCUCCUCCCCUUUUUUUUUUCCAGUGAAUCUCCCAGUGUAACUCCAAGUGUAACUCCCCUACUGAAACUUCAGUAUUUAUAGACUAAUUUCGUGGGUAAUGGGCUUGGAAUGAGGGAGACCCAAGUCCAAAAUAAUUUGUUAUAUUUUAUUUAUUUAUUUAUUUUAAUUAUUUAAUUAAUUAAUUAAUUGAUUAAUUAAUUAAAAAAUAAUUUUUUUUUUUUUUUUUUUUUUUUUAUUUUUUUUUUUUUUUUUUUUUUUAUUACUGAAGUGCUGGUAUUUAUAGUGAUAAUGGUGACCUAAUGGGCUCAGAAUGAAGCCCGAAAUUUUUGUUGUCUGUCAGCUUCGCUAGGCGAGCGCGUAGCGAACAGGCCAGUUUGGGCCAUUUUCUGGAUUGGGCCAUCCGUGAGCUGGGCCUUUGUUUCUUCAAGAUCAGUGUUAUAUAUGAGUCGGAAUGCCUUGAAAAAUGUCUUGAAAUAUUAAUGGGCAAAUUUUGGGGUAUGACAGCUGCCCCUGUUCAAUAUUCUUGAACCGAGAGAGUUAGGAUGGCGUGUAUGCCAUUCGUGGUCUGGAGGUGGAAGAUUAUUGAACACUAGAAUGCCCCAAAAAUUUGCACUUGAGAAUCGACAGUUGGUCUUGAUGGAGAUGGGCUUAAAGAUGCCAUCCGGGAGGUUUGAUGACGAAAGCUUCAGAUCGCGCCGUAUAUUAGGCCAAUUUGAAGACAUGGGUGCCACACUGGGUCGUACGUUAGACCGUAUAAUGAGUCAUCCAUUAGGCUGCCGACUUCGCUGGGGAGUCGGAGUGUGUCAUAUGCUGUUGGGGAUAAAGGAUCAGAAUGGACCAUACGCUAGAUCGUAUCUGAGUUGCAGAAUGAGCCGUACGUUAGGCUGAAUCUGAUGACGAAAGGGGUAGUCGUACGUUAGACUACACUUCAGAAAUGUACCGUAUGUUAGGUAGCAUCUGAGGGGAUGGACAUCCGAACGGGUCGUACGUUAGACCGUCGCAGAAUGAGUCGUCUGUUAGGCCGCAUCUGAUGAUGAAAGCGGUAGUCGUACGCCAGACUACACUUCAGAAAUGUACCGUACGUUAGGUAGCAUCUGAGGGUUGUAAGAUCCAAACGGGUCGUACGUUAGACCGCGUUGGGGUUGUUGAAGUUCAGAAUGGAUCGUACGUUAGAUCGUAUCCGAGUUGUAGAAUGAGCCGUCCGUUAGGCUGCAUCUGAAAAAGAAAGUAGUCGUACGCUAGACUACACCCCUGAAUGUACCGUACGCUAGGCAGCAUCUGAGGAUUUGAAGGUCCAAAUGGGUCGUACGUUAGACCGCAUUGGAGUUGCUGAAGAAGUCAUAUGUUGGGCUGAAUCAGAAUGAACCGUACGUUAGGCUGUAUCUGAUAACCUGUAUAUGUUGUACUUGCAAUAAAUGUCUGGGAUGGGCUUAGAGAUGCCAUCGUUAGGAGGAUAUCGAAGUGUUGUCAGAAUGAAUGUUCCCAUGAACUGUAUUUGAAAUAUGUAUCUGAAUCUUGAAUGUGAUUGAUAAAGGUGUCUGUCUGAAUGAACCUUCUACUUUGACUAUAUCAGGAGGAUAAUUAACCUGCAAAGAAAAAGUUAGCUUCAUGCUAUGUCAUGAUGCAUGAGAUGUUUCGUGUUAUGCUAAAAUAAAUGUGAAUGUUGUAUGCAUGCGUAUGCUGUGAAAGGAUGUAAUGAAUGAGUUAUGCGUAUGAGAAGUUCUGCUUGGGGACUCUACUGGGGAAAAUAAAUCCCCAUCUACUGAUUUGAGACAUUUGUGUCGAUGACCCUUUCUCGGCUGGGGAUGCUUGAUUUCUGUCUGAUGGUGGAAAUAUUCAACAGAGCCUGGCUGGGGAUGGAUGAGAUGAUCAAUCUGUCUGGUGACGCCGACCUCUGUUGGGGAGUAACUGGCUGUGCCUGGGGAUACUGCCAUUUUCUGGGAAAAAAAAAACAGGCUUGCUGGGGAAGAGAAUUGGUAGCGGAUUCAUUGGAAGCAUGAUUAGACCUUUUCCUUGAUCCUGAAGUCGGGUAGUAAUUGCUAUUGCUAUUCUAUGCAUGUAUUUUUGGUAAACAUCAGUCAUAUUCAAAUGCACAUAUUAAUUCAAAUUAAAUCAAUGGACAUUUACGCAACCAAAACAGAAAAGUAAAAACAAAAGCAUCUUUUUUUUGAAAGAGGGUUGUAUUGAUUUUGAAAGGAGGCCUAUAAACAGGCAAUUUGUGUACAAGGAGACAGAAAUCCUAGUAAGAGGAAAUUGUCGAAAACAAAGAGAAAGCUAUGUGGAAGAAGUCCUAUUGAUUUUAAGCCUACUACUGUCAUUAUGUCUUCGAGCAUCUCAUCCCUUGCUGUCGGAUAGAAGUGAUUGGCUUGGUCAGUCCCUCGAACUUGGAUGAAAGCUGACUGAGAACGGGACAUAGUCAUACGCUUUAAUCCCUAAUUUUUGCCUGGACCGCCUUUUCAGGUUUUCAGUCCACCAGGAUACCCUUUUUUGCCCAAGCCGCCUUUUCAGGUUUUCGACUUGCCGGGUGUACAUUUUUUUAUAUUUAUCCCUAAUUUUUGCCCGAACCCUUUUGGUUCGCCGGGAUGCCCUUACUUUUGCCUAGAUACGUCGACCUAGCGGGUCUCUUUUAUGCGUAGUAUUUUUUAACUAUGUCCGCGUUCACGGGAUGCGGGAAAUCUUCGCCAUCCAUUGUAGCAAGUAUCAUGGCUCCACCAGAGAAUACCUUCUUAACUACAAAUGGCCCUUCGUAUGUGGGAGUCCAUUUGCCUCUGGGAUCACCUUGUGGUAGAAUGAUACGCUUGAUCACCAAGUCGCCAAGUUGGUACACCUGUCUCUUAACUCUUUUGUUAAAUGCCUGGGUCAUGCGCUUCUGAUAUAUCUGCCCAUGACAAACAGCCGCAAGUCUCUUCUCAUCAAUCAAAUUUAUCUGAUCGAGUCGAGUCUGAAUCCAUUCAUCUUCAUCUAAGCCCGCCUCUUUCAUGAUUCUUAGAGAGGGAAUCUGAACUUCCACUAGUAAGAUGGCUUCCAUUCCAUAGACUAAAGAGAACGGAGUUGCCCCUGUCGUAGUGCGCACUGAAGUGCGAUAACCGUAAAGAGUAAAGGGUAACAUCUCAUGCCAGUCUUUGUAUGUUACUGUCAUUUCUUGCAUGACCUUCUUGAUAUUGUUAGCAGUCCCCACGGCGCCGUUCAUCUUUGGCCGGUACGGAGAAGAGUUAUGGUGUUUUAUUUUGAACUGCGUGCAGAGUUCAGUAAUCAUCUUGUUGUUCAAAUUAGUACCAUUAUCAGUGAUAACUCUUUCAGGGAUGCCAUACCGACAAAUAAGACUAUUCUUGAUGAACCGUGCCACCACAUUCUUGGUGACAGAAGCAAAUGAGGCUGCCUCUACCCACUUUGUAAAGUAAUCAAUAGCAACAAGAAUGAAACGAUGUCCAUUAGAAGCAGUAGGUUUAAUCUCUCCAAUCAUAUCAAUGCCCCACAUUGCAAAGGGCCAAGGGGCUGUCAACACGUUCAAUGGAGCAGGAGGUACAUGUACUUUGUCCGCAUAGAUCUGGCACUUGUGACAAGUUCUGGAGUGAUGGUGGCAAUCAGCUUCCAUGGUAGACCAAUAAUACCCUGAUCUCAGAAUCUUCUUGGCCAUCGUAUGUCCACUAGAAUGAGUCCCAAAAAUACCGUCAUGCAUGUCUUCCAUAAUCUUUUCUGCUUCCUUUUUAUCCACACAGCGAAGCAAAGUCGAAUCAUGAUUACGUUUGUAUAAUACUCCAUUACUCAAAAAGAAUUUAGCGGAGAACUUCCUCAGAAAUUUUCUGUCAUUGAUGGAUGCCCCUUCAGGGUAUUCCUGAGUUUCUAAAUAUCUUUUUACUUCGUGGAACCAAGGUUUCUCUUCUACUUCAUCAGCAUUAAGUUCAUAACAAUAUGCUGGUUCAUCUAAUCGUUCAAUGGUGAUCAUGGGAGCUUCAUUGUCCCAUCUGACUCUGAACAUAGAUGACAUGGUAGCCAAUGCGUCUGCCAACUGAUUCUCUUCUCGUGGAAUAUGUUCGAAUGUAAUCUCUUCAAAGUAUGGGAUUAAUGUCAACACCCGCUCUCGAUAAGGGAUGAGAUUCGGAUGUUUAGUGUCCCAUUCUCCUUUGAUCUGACUGAUUACUAAGGCUGAGUCUCCGUACACACUCAAAAACUUGAUUCUCAGGUCUAUAGCAGCUCUGAGUCCCAAAAUACAUGCUUCAUACUCAGCCAUAUUAUUGGUACAAUCAAAACAUAGUCUAGCAGUGAAAGGCGUAUGGCAACCCCUGGGAGAAAUAAUUACAACACCAACACCAUUGCCCAAUGCAUUAGAAGAUCCAUCGAAAACCAUAGUCCAUCGGGAUCCCAGUUCGGGUCCUUCAUCCGGUCCAGGUUCUUCAUAAUCAGUAACAAGCAUGACAUCCUCAUCUGGGAACUCAAAAUUCAUAGAUUGGUAAUCAUCCACUGCUUGAUGAGCCAAAUGAUCAGCUAGCACGCUUCCUUUGAUUGCUUUCUGGGUAGUAUACUGGAUAUCAUACUCUGUUAAAAUCAUCUGCCAUCUUGCUAUUCUUCCGGAGAGAGCAGGUUUCUCAAAUAUAUAUUUGAUAGGAUCCAUCUUAGAAGUCAAUAAAGUGGUAUGAUUCAACAUAUACUGUCUUAGUCGGCGAGCAGCCCAAGCCAAAGCGCAGCAAGCUUUCUCGAGCUGUGAGUAUCUUGUUUCACAGUCGGUACCUUUUGCUAAGGCAGUAUAUGGCAUGCUCUUUUCGACCAGACUCGUCAUGUUGCCCCAGCACACCCUAUUGAAUUUUCUAACACGGUCAAAUACAUAGUUAGAGGUCUUCCUUCAACUGGUAGCAUCAGAAUUGGAGGUUCUUGGAGAUACUUCUUGAUUUUGUCAUUCAUCAUUCCAUACCAUCUCUUGAUUUUUCUUUUUUAGUAAUUUGAAAAUGGGUUUGCAGGUAGCAGUCAAGUGUGGAAUGAAUCGGGCAAUGUAAUUCAAGUGUCCCAAGAAACCUCUGACUUCUUUCUUGUCUAUUUCAGUACCCAGAUUUACAAUUUCAAUUGAUUCCUCAUGCGGCUGUAUGGUCUUUUCUUCUUGUAGUACCAGUCUGGCAAGUUCUCCAGGGACUUCACAAUCUUCCUCACUUCCAUCCUCGGCUUGGUAGAUCGGAUUUUCAAAGUCAUAAUGAACAGUAGCAGAGUCAUUACCAACAGGAUCCAGAGUGGAUAUGGAUCGGCAAAUUGUUACGUGAGUGUGUGCAAAAAAAACAUAGCUUUGUUUAAAAGAAGACAGGAAAGAUAAAGAGCGCAAUAUUUGAAUGCAAAAAGUCCAUUGAUUUAUUGAAUAUAAAUAUGCUUAUGAAAAUGACAAAACCCUUAACAAAUUAGCUAUUGUGCCACGGGCAUAGACACAAUGCUUUGAAACACUAAAAUAGCAAUAACAAUUACUCCUGACUAAAGGAAAUCAGGAUAGUGUCUUCAGCCUUCCAAUUGUCGAGUCCGUUACCAAUUGUUGGGAACAUCCAGCUAUCUCAGUCAUAAUCAUCAUCAGCAUCUUCCACAGCAUUAACAGUCUCGUCAUGAUUUGGCAGAGGGGCAGUGAUGCCAUUAGGAGUCUCCGGAGGAUCAAAGAUAGUCGCCUGUAUCUUCCCACUUCGAAUGCCACUUUCAACAUGUUCACCUGUUAAUAUAAGUUCAGCGAAACCCAAUGAGGAACUCCUCAAUAGAUGGCUGUAGAAUGGGCCAGUCAGUGUGCUCAUGAACAUGUCCACUAAUUCUCGAUCAGUCAUAGGGGGUUUGACUCUGCCAGCCAAAUCUCUCCACUUUUGAGCAAUUUUGAAACUUCUUUAGAUCCCAUAGUCCAAUUCUGCAACUGUAUUCCGAGUAGCGCUUGAGUUCAGAAUAUACUGGGUAGGUUAUAGAACAUCAAUUGCAAAUCUAGUCCAUGUGUGGUAUCAAGCUCCAAGCUAAAUACACCUAACUGUGCCAGGACAAAGACUCCUGAAAAAUUGGAUCCACAUUCCUAAUCAUAGUGUGUCGGCUGAAUCUGCUCACAUAAGCGCUUCAGAUGCAUCUGAGGCCAAGAGGCACAUCAUACUAUGAAAAUGGAACCUUGAAUUUGCGCGGGAAUGACCACAUCAGAGACAGACACCCAAGUUCGAAAUCCAGACCGGGCACUUUCUGCCCCUCCAUUAGCUACAAUACACGUUCUACCAGCACUGUACUAUCAUCCUUCGAGAGGACUGUCAUUCAUAAUCUUGUCGCGUCCUCUCAGGAAUUGACAGAAUUAUGAUCUCACUCCGAAUCAAUUCUCGUCUCUCUUCUGAAUCCUUCGAAUUCAUCUGACUCCUGUAACCUGUCCCUUAGCGCUUUCUCCCUGGUGAUGUAACCACAGUUUCUGUCCUUCUUCUUCCUCCCACAUCAAAAGAGCUUUCAGUUCGUCUGCCCUAGAUAAGCUUCAGCAUCACAUUUCCUGGAAUUGAGCCAAUCUGGCCUGGAGACUUCUUUGACAGUUUGUCGAUGAGCCCCAUUGUUGCAAUUCUGUUUGAAUCUCCUGUGACAUCUGUUGGAAAUCUUGUUUGAUAGGAAAAUGUGCAGAACACUGGAAUCCUUUAGAAAUACCUGUAAGCGAGCAAUGCAAGUGUAAUAAAUGUUUUCAAAGGACUUUCGGGAUUACUUUGCAUAAACUUACAAAAAGAGCUCUUUUUUGUUUUUCGUCGGGUUUUGUUUUUUGCUUUUUUCUGUUUUUUUGUUUUAAAGCAGAGUUAAAUCCUAACCUUGAAAUGGUUAGUUAAGCCAUGAUGUUUAGAUGUUUGUUGUUAUGAUUGUCAUGUUUUGUUGAUAAUAAAAGCAAAGCAAGUCACACAACAAUCAUUCCUGAGUUUUUAAAGGCUUGCGUGAGUUCCAUAGGUAAAUAACCCUCUUCCCAGCUGCAGUUUGUUUGGCUUCAACCUGCUUAAAUAGUAACCGGUUCUAGAAGGAUCUCAAAUCAUUGACCUUUCCUUAAGUCCAUUCAGUGCAGACACCAUGGUUGCCCGAAAGCUCCCUCAGUCCAAUCUAAAGAGGUAGUAUCGAGUCUCAAUCCCCAAUCUCCCGUCGAAACCGAAUGCCAGUUUUCAUCUACUACUUCUAAUGCCAGGAAUGAGUCAAUUGUGGUCUAAAGGUCUUGUUAAUGCUUUUAAUGACACCAGACGCGAAUGCAAAAUUUUCCUCAACUAACAUGAGGAACAUCAGGAAUCCAAGUGCCCAAUUACCGUAGCCAGAUCAUUUUGUACCAUUCCAGUAUACGCCGGAACAGUUCCGCGAUGAUCUCUUCGCUACUGGUAUCGUAAUGGUACACUAGAUCCUGGUGUUAGGAUCUUUCACUCAGCAUAAGCAUACCAAGCAAGUCCCUUAAAAAUAAUCAAGACAAUCGAAUAAGUGAUCCUUGUUUUUAAGGUAACUCUCUUUAAUAUUUAGGGUCCCAGGAAAAAAAAAAACAGAGUCGCAGUUCUGUCAUAACGGUGAACUGGACUUUUUUGUGGUUUUAAUCGCAAUGGUCCGUCGGUUAGCAAGAGUCGCCACCGACGCUUUUCUCUUAUUCACAAUAAGGAACAUGGUGGAAAAAGAACAGGAAAAAACCUAUAAUUUAGAUUUUGGGUUUGGGAGGUACAUAUAGACAAAGGCGAAGGUGUUGGCACGACCUUGUAUCCAGUUAUCAUGGGCUCUUAAUUGCUCGAUCACUUUGUAAUUAUUUUUUGGUCUGAAAACAAGUGUUGUGAAUUUUGGAACAUUUGUUUUUGGAAAAGAGAAUUAACUUUUGUAAUGAUUCUUGUAUGAAUUAUAAAAGUGUUACUCCGUUUUAGUUUUGAAUUUGUUUAGAAAAAUUAUAACUGGUAAUGAAUUCUAGUUAUCGGAAUGUUAUAUCCAAGUGUGAUUUUUCCUACAAGGCCAUUUGAAAGGUGUGGCCGUGCACCAACAAGAAUGUUUUAAGUUGUGAGCCAGCUAAAACGAGUUAUACCUGACCCAAGGUCUUUACUGGCUAUUUCUACCUUAUGAGGUAAAACGUCCUUAAUCUAUUGAGAAAUAAGUAGUUUUAUCCUUGGAUGUAAAAGGGUCAUCGUAGGGUCAUCGAUGCAUUGAACGGCAACAGUUAUGAGGAUACCUUAGCAUUCGAAGGGACUUAAUAUCAUUUUACGUAGCAACAUCGGAGGGUCAUCGAGGGACAAAGUGUAUAUUCGAAGGGCAACAUCGCGAGGGGACUAUAAUUUUAUUUUUAAUGAUGAUUUAACCGAAGGGUCUUUGCUAAGGGUAUCCCCCACGUCGCCGGGACCAGGACCGAAUAUCGCUAAUCGGAACGGCACAAAGAAGGUCCAAGACACUUAUUCAAGAGGCAAAGUUUACACUUAAUUAAUAUAAUUAGGAUGAAACCCACAAUUAAACUUAUUAAAAUAAUAUAUUAAAUAAAUUAAUACAUUAGAAAAUACAUAAAAAAAUUAAUUUAGGGUGAAACUCCACAAGGUAUCCCACAAAUAAAUGGAAUACCUAGCAAUAACCUUUUCCUGGGAUAGUGAACCUUACGAAACUCAAAAAAAAAGAAACAUGUCAGAACACCAAAUCAGGGUGCAAUCGAGAUUACACGGAGAAUACACAACAAUAAAUAGGAUAGGAGAAUAAUCAUGGCUAUGAUAAAACUAAAAAAAACAAUAGGCCCACGGAUUUGAAUGAAAACACCCCACGUUAGGAACUUUGAAUUUUAUGGCAUUUUAUCACAGGAUAUAACAUGAUCAACAUUCAGGGUAUUCAGGCAUAUUUAAAUUCCCAUACGAAAGCAAAUAUAUAUCAACAUUUAAUCAUGAUGCAUUUAUAUGUAGAUAUUGGCCAAUGAAAGUAUAAACAAUAGAGAUAGCAAACCUGUUUGCCAAUUCAAGUUGAGGAUUGACCACUUGUAGUAUCGGAAUAAGUUAGGCCAGCGGAAUGGACGCGAUGCUUCGGUGCAGAUGGGCUGCCUUCAGGUUCGUUACUCUGAAUUCUCCGGGUAGGCAGGGUUCCUAUGCAAAACUCUAUUCGUUCUUCUCGUCUCUCUCUUUCUUUUUCCUCAAGUUUUGUUCCAAGGAACCUAGAGUGUUUUGCUUCUCUUCUUCUUCUCUCAGUGAAUCUCCCAGUGUAAACUCCAAGUCUAACUCCCAUCUAAACUCCAAGUGUAACUCCCCCUCUAAACUCAGUAUUAUAGACUAAUUUCGUGGUAAUGGGCUUGAAAUGAGGGAGACCCAAGUCCAAAUAAUUUGUUAUUUUUAUUUAUAUAUUUAUUUAAUUAUUUAAUUAAUUAAUAUUAAUUAAUUAAUUAAUUAUUUUUUUUUUUUUUUUUUUUUUCGUUUUUUUCGUUUUUUUUUUUUUUUUUUUUUUUUUUUCGUUUUUUUUUUUUUUUUUAGGAAAAAUAAUGGUAAUUUUUGGGGUUGAAACCCUAGGGCCUUGGCUCAAUGAAAAUUGCACCUUGCUGCUUGACUGACUGAUCUCCUGAUCAGUUUGACCUAAGUUCUUCUGACUGGCUUGCACUUGAGGCAAAGGGACAAUGCAAUGCUAUGCAGUGGACCAUGUUAUGUUAUGACCUAAUAUGAGAAUGUAUGUACAAUGAUAGGUGCAAAUUUGAGGUGCUACACUCUCGUAUUUUUAGACUUUUAUCAUUGUUGAAUUAUUGUAUGUAUAAUCAGAUAUUGUUGGGUUUAAUUUAUGCCUUGUGCUUGAGUUCAUGUUACUACAUUUGAAUUCACACCCAUUUGCAAUCCAAUUUGCAUCCUCAGUGUUAUCAUUUGUAUCUGUCAUAUUUAACUAUCAAUUUCAAUUCAUUUCUAAUCACUUACUCAAAAUCAUUUUCAAAACUAUUUUGCAAGGCAGGUCAAAAGCUUGAUCCAACGUCAAGCUAUUUUCAAAAUCAUCUCAAAACCAACCCAUUUGAAACUUUUGUUUUCAAACCGUUCCCACUAUCUCAAUUUAUCAACCAUCCACAUUCAAAUCAUUUUCAAACCCUAAAACCACUUCAACCUUUUAUUUCAUAACCAUAAACAAACCUCGAUCAACAUCGAGUGCAUUUUUCCAAUAAAACUUUAAAAUACCCAAAACAUUUUUUUAAGAUGCAAACGGAAUGGGGUGAAUAUCACGAGCUCCUAAGACUAGGAUUCUAGAUGGAUAUCUCGCUAAUCCAAGCUCUUGCCAUCACCAAAAAUACAUCAAACUCAUUCAAACCUUUUUUUUCCUUUUGGCACAACCUAAAUAACGUUUUCAAAAACGAAAGAUAUUUUAUCUUAAGAUGAUACAAAAUAAUGUUUCAUCCACAAGUGUUGGGUUGAGAUAAGUGGCGUGAAUGUGAUUUGUAAAUCCAUUCAAUAUGGGGUAAAGGUCUUCUCCUCACCUAUUUUUGGUAAAAUAAUAUUUUUCGUCGAUUUGCAAAUCCAUUCAAGACAGCUUUCACUAAAAUCGACCAACAAACAAACUUUUUCUUACCCAGAACCACGUGUGCCUUGACUUCUCUUUUGAGAUACGUAGGAGCAAGAUUGCGAAAUCUUGUCAGGCCCACUAAUAAAAAAUAAACCUUUUGUCAUAUUCUUUCCCCUCUUAAUAACUCGAGAAGCCUAAAUUUUAAAUAAACACUAAUACACAUAACUAACCAAACGGUUCCCGUUGAGUACAACGGGCGUGAGGGGUGCUAAUACCUUCCCCUUGCGUAACCGACUCCCGAAUCCUGAUAUUGGUUGCGAUGACCAUAUCCUUGUCCUUAUUUUAAGGGUUUUACUUGAAAUUUUCCCUUUCCCUCUAUGGUAAUAAAUAAAGAUCGAUGCCAACUCUGUUAAGUCCAUCCCACGAGUGUGCGAUUACACUUCACGAGGUCGUUCUUAUUUUUCGAGGUACGACAGAUCGCCACUCUGAUGGGGACUCUCACAUCCCUAAGUGAGUCAGGACUAGUUAGGUUCUUGUGUGUGCUUAUGUUUGUUUACUUGUGUGGCUUUUCUUUACCUUAUGCUUUCAUUAUUGUUAUAUUGUUAAUAUGGCUCUAUUGGAUUAUUAGUACUUGGAUAUCUGAUUGCAAAACCUUGAGGUAAAGACUUUCUACCCGAGCCUUGAGUGGAAACAUAAGAUAGGACGAUGGUUGAGUAGUGCGGACUCGUGAGGUGAGUACCUUGUAAGGGUCGCCAUGAGAACCUCACUUAGAGUAGAUCCUUUUGAAAGUGUUGUUGCGCAGGGUGAAUACCUCGUUAGCUUCGAUGUUUUCAAAGGGGUCCAUGACUCUAAGGAUAUUUUAGAACUUGAACCUUUUUGGACAACUAAGAAUGAUGGUUUCUUAGUAUGGAUCCGUGAGGUGAAUACCCCGUUAGGAUCGAUACGAAAACCUAACUCAAAAUAGAUUCUCACAAAGGAGUUGGUGCGCGACAAGAAUAUAUCGUAAGUGUCAAAUAUACUUGUGAAUCCGUGACUCUGAGAACCAUACCUAGAACCUAAGUUGAUGGUUAAGUAGUAUGGAUUCGCGAGGUGAAUGCCUCAUUAGGAUCGAUAAGAAAACCUCACCUAGAAUAGAUUCCCAUGAAAGAGUUGAUGCGCAUCAAGAAUUUUCCGUAAGCGUCAAACAUUCUUGUGGAUCCGUGACUCUGGGGUCCUUUGUAAAAGCCUUAGAUCAUACCCGAUGAGAACCUAUUUUGGAAAGCAAUCAGAUUCAUCCUUUACCUUGAAGCUUUGAACAUGUAUUUAAAAAAACAUUGCAUUUCAUCUAUAUUCAUUGCAUAUGCAUAGAAAGCAAAGCUCUUAGUCAUCUUCCAUUUGUUUCAGAGAUCUAAGUCAUUUGCAAGAGAAAAUGAAUCCUGAAAGAAGAAGCAUAUUUCAAUUCAAGUACAAGAAAGUGGAGCUUGACUGUUCGAAGAAGUUUAGUGCCAAUGUGAUUAAGCUCACUGAAUUCGUGGACGAUUAUGGGAUGAUCUUAAGUAUUUUGAAUGAAAAGAUGGAACCAAUGACAACUGUGACUAUAACUCAAUUCUACGACCCACCUUUGUGUUGUUUUGCCUUUUCUAACUUCCAAUUUUCUCCCACUUUAGAAGAGUUUGAGAGAAUUGGGGGCCGAAAUUUGAGGGACCAUGAUCUAUUUUCCAAGUUUGAUGAAGAUAUCACUACCAAGAGAAUAACUUUAGUUUUGAGUCUGGAGGUCUAAUUGGUUAAGUAAUUGAGAUAAGAAGGGAGUCUUAAGUGGUUUUUAUAGAUGUUUUUUGGAAGAACAAGCUGUGAAGUUGGAGAAAGAUGGAAAAUGGAAAGCAUUCCAUUUCGUGUUAUCCCUAUUGGUUUAUGGGAUAGUAUUGUUUCUGAAUCUUGACAGUUUCGUGGAUAAUGUGGCCGUGAGAAUCUUCCUCUCUGGUAAUCUAGUACAUUUUCUCCUAGCUGAUAUCUACUACGCCCUCCAUGAGUGUCAUGAGAAGAAAUGGGGAACCAUUUCAUGUUACGAACAGUUGUUGCAUGCUUGGUUCAUAUCUCACAUACCCGAAAAAGGACCAUACAUCUCCAAAAUCACUUAAACACUCUAAGAAGUUAUCCUCCCUUACUGCCAACCAUGUCAAAUGGUAUAUUAGAGAUUGGGAGACCCCAAAUAUCAUUGUUAGCAUUGGAGACUUUCCUAAUAUACUUUUGAUAGGAACUAGGGGUUGCAUCAACUACAACCCUAUGUUAUCCCUGAUGCAACAUGGUUACUCCAUGAACGGUCCUCCAAAAGCUUAAGCUUUAGAGCCUUUCAUUUUGCAUGACAUUGAUGUGGACAACCCAAUUGUGAAGAAGAUUAAGAGAUCCUAGAAAACAAUUGUUAGAAGGGUUAAGGAGUUUGGAAAGAGGAAUGUCCUUGUGAAAGAGCCUUACACUUGUUGGGUAAGAGAGAGAGAGAGAGAGAGAGAGAGAGNGAGAGAGAGAGAGAGAGAGAGAGAGAGAGAGAGAGAGAGAGAGAGUUUAAGUGGUUAAGCUCCCAUUUCCAUUUGAUCCCUCUAUUUUUCCUUCAGUUCCCAAGCCAGAACCUAUACUACCUGAAGACGUUGAGAAGCUCAAUGCCAAAAUUAAGGAGCUUGAAUUAGAAAACUCUAAGUUACGACUCAAGCUUAAUUGAGCCACUUUGGAAAAUGAAAAUCUGAAGGAUGAUAUCAAGAGAAGGACCGAGAUCUUGAAGCUAGCAACAAGAGAGAAAGAACAUUUGAAGAGAAGAAGGAUGAUCUUGAUGAUAUUCUCAUAGGUAUGAAAUCUGUGUUCAAAACCAAGAAUGAGGAGCUAAAAAAAGCCCACCUCAAAAUUCAAGAGUUGGACAAAUUGUUGAAGAUGUCUCUUAUGGAGAAGAGAGAAGCUAGACUCGACUAUGAAGCUCAAAUCUAUGAACUCAGGGACACUCUCAAGAAAUGCAAAGAUAAGUUGUCUCGUGAGGUCUUUCGGAAAGAGGAAGCUGAGAGGAAUUGUCUCUUCCUUGAGUACCAGUUGGAAGAAGCUAAUAGAAGGAUUGUAGGUUUGGAAAACUAAGAAAGUGAUGCAGCUUACAUGAUCUUGAAGAAUGACUGUGUAUAUUGGAGGGGUAUGUAUAGAGAAGCUAGAGCGGCCCUAAACGAAGAUCAAUGUUUCAUUAAAAAGCUCCAAGACCUCUAUGUUGAAUGGAAUGGAAAGUUUGUAAACUUGGCUAGAUCUACUAACCUCAACAUGAUGGAACUCCCAGAGAAACUCCAAUAAGCUGAUUACAGCAUGUGCCCAGAGAACACACCUCCUCAAGUUUUCAACUUUGUCAAGUUUUGCAAGCGAAUGGCGUAAGAUCUCACCACCAAUCUUGCUAUGAUCAAAAGGGAUGAGAUGGAAAUUAAUUUCACCGGUACUUGAAUUUAAAUCACUUGUACUUGAAUUUGAAUUUAAAUCACUUGUAUUUGAUGUUGAACUUGAAUUAAUGAAAGUUGUCAUCUUGGAUUUCAUUUCAUUGUUAUUUUUAUUCAAAAAUCUUGCAAAUAAAAUGUUCUAACAUUGCUGAAAUAAAUAACAAAGACAACUAAGAGCUUUUCUAAAAAAUGAAUCCAUAUAUGAAGUCAUACAUGCAUCCAUGUCAUUCUUCAAUAAAAGCUCAUUUCACCGUCUUCUUCCAAUUUCACACUAAGUCCUCAACAUCAGUACAACACCAGAGUCGAAGCUCGACAAAGAAUGGAAGAACAAGAACAAGAGUUUGAAAGAGUUAGCUCAGAACUUGAGGACCUACGAGGGAGCAUGGGUCAAAUCAUGGAGAUGCUUCAAGUCAUCAGAGCCAAGAGGGACACACAAACAACAGUCGUUUUGAAGAUCACUGGUCCAAUGCUUGAACCCUAACCCGUAAGGACGGUACCUUAUACAUUUCCUCUUUUUGGUGUACCUUAUGGCUUCACACCUCAACAAACUGAUCCUCUAUCAUUAGCACCUCCGACCAUCCACACACAUGUUCAACAUUACUUCGAAGAUCAACAACAUGCUCCAGAAAUGUAUGAUGAAGAAUAAGAAAGGCAUAAAUAUAUAAAGGGUAUUAAAGAGAAUUUUCAGAUUCUUGAGAAGAUACUGAGGGCAAUGAAAGGUGUAAUACCCCAAUUUUGACCCUAAGAUCCCUCAUGCAAUUUCAUCAUAUGCAUAAGCAUUAGGGUCAUACCUUGACAUCCUCCUUACCCCUCUUUCAUUGGGUUUGUAGUGGGAGAGAUCACCAAACAUUAUGUGAUUGUAUCAUACUUGUAUAUUAUCAUUUUUUACUAACCAAAAUACCAAAAAUAUUUCUUUGCAUUUGCCUAACCCUUUUGUAGGUAGGCAUGAUCACCAUUGAUCCAUCAAGUUCACAUCUAGGGUUUAAGACCCUCAUGACUAAGAGCACAACCAAGGAAUGAUCCAAAAUGGCUAUAAGCAUCAUAUAUGAGUCCACAUGAUCUUUACAUGUUAUUUUGAUCAAUAUUUCUUCAAGAGUUUGGAGUUGGUUUGCCUUGGAAACCCUAGUUUGUCUGGGUAUCUUGAGUAACUUCUUCAACAAGCUUCCUCACCAAUUGAUCAAAUUUCUCAUGGGACACUUCAAAAUUCCAUCAUCUUAUGCAUAUAUGAUCUACCAUGAUCCUAAAAAGUCAAUAGAAUUGCAAUCUAGCAAGUUGGUUGAUGGUGGUUGGCCAGAUGAAUUCAUCUGAUCAAAACUGGGUCUCCCUAGACCCUAUCUCCUACAAUUUUCAUCAUAUGAAAAUGAUUCCAAGAGAAAAGUUACUCUAAAUGACAUUACAAACAAAUUUCAUGUUGAGGUCUAGAGUUAAUUUUUCUUGGAAUGUCAUUUUCUAUGUUGAAACAUUAUAGGCCAUUUUGUCUAAACCCUAAUUUGAAAGUCAACUUCCCAAGGCCAUAAUUUGCUCAAUUUUUAUGAGAUAAAAGAUUUCCAAGUUGAAAAAUAAAAUUCAAUAUGUCUAAUUAAAAUUUUAUGUUUGGAGUGAGAGCUAACUCAACUUUUAUGAGCAUGUGAUAUGAGGAUACAUCAUAGGUCAUUUUGGACUAAUACCAUUGAACAAGUGAUUUUCCUCAACUUCAAAAAUGCAUAAAUCACUCAUUCUAAACCCAAAUGAUGUCAAAUUGGUGACCAUUUUGAAGGCCUUUUAAAGAUAUACAAGUUUGAUGAAGACACGUUUCUCAUUUGGAGCUCACAUAAAAAGUUAAACAAGGUGGAAUAAUGAAGUAUAUGACUUGACACUUAGAAAAAUUUUCAACAUGUUGAAAUUUACAAACUUCCACCUCAAAAUUCACCAUGAUACAAGUUCCAAAUGGAAAAGUGUUCAACAUAAGAGUUGUUCCUCUUGAUCUAAGCUUUCCAAAGAGUCCUGAUUCAUUCAUUUUGGAUGAAGUUUGAGGGGUCUACGUAUGGUGUAAACACAGCUGUAUCAGUUGGCAAGAUUCAAACUUCAAAUGAUCAUUUAACUUUGCCUUGCCAUUCAAGCUUCAUUCAGACCUCAACAUAGUUGGUUUUGGACUUAAUUGAGUUCCUUCAUGGGCCUGUACACGCCCAUGCAAGCAUGAACAUGACAUUGCUAAAAUUGGACAAAUUUUCAAGUGUGCAAAUAACAUUCCAUUUUGCUAUAAAUAGAGACCCUUUGUGCUCAUUUCAGAGGACCUUUGCGCGCCAGCUUUGCCUCCACACUUCAAACCCUCACAUUUGAAAGGAAAAUUUGUGAAUUUUCAUUUGAAAAUUGAGUUUGAAUCUCACUGUUUGGAGAUUCAAAAACUCCAGGAUCCAAAGCUUUGUACCAAUCCUAAGCCACUUCUGCAAGCUACUUGAGCAAGAUCAAACACGAAAUGAAGCAAGAAAGAUCAAGUUCUGCACAACAUUGAAGGUAUUUUCCAGAUUUUUUCUUCUCUUCAAUUCUCACUCAAUUCUCAUUAAUUCUCUUGGAUCUUUGGUUGUCGGAAGUCCUACCAAUGUAGGCAAGAAGAUUGAGUUGCUUUGAGGUCAAAUCGAAGCAACUCAGUUGACCCACCUCAAAAUGCAACUCGAUAUAUCUCUCUAUAUAUUUGGAGUUAGUUAAAAUUGAGGUGAUAUUCGUGAUCUACGCCAUUUUAUCUUUCAGAUCAUGUCCUCUUUUAUCAUUUAUGAUGUGGUGGUGACUGAACCAGUCCGGCCAGGGUCAUCGGAGAAGAUGAUCGGCCUUUGACUCUGGCGAUGAGCUGGAAGCGUUCAGAGCCGUUAGAUGAGUUCGAAAUGUUUUAAUCCUGAGCGCUCAUUGUGAUUACCAUUGACACCUCAAUUAAUAAGGGGGAUCAAGUGGUCCACGUUUUUUUUAAAUUUUUAUUCCUUUAAUUUUCAUUAAUUAAUAUUAAUUUUAAUAUUGAUCCAAAAAAUAUGAGAGUUUCACUAAAAAUUUAUAAAUAAACUCCUCUUUCAUAUUUUGAAUUAAAAUUAUUUUUUGGAUCAUUAUUAAUAUUUUUCAUGAUUUAAUUUAUUUUAUGAAUAUUUUUAAUUGUUUAAAAAUGCUUUUAAGUUUCCAAAAAUUCUGAAUUUUUUCUCCAAGGUCCUUUGACCUUGUUUGACCUAUGAUAAAUCUCAUGGUCAUUUCUUUGGUGUUUUGAUGAGGUUUUAGGAAAUUGACCAACCAUAUUUUAUUUAAUGUUUUAUUUUUAGUAUUUUUAAUUGAAUAAAUGUUAAAUAAAUUGUGUAGAGCCAUUUUGAUUGACUUUGUGAGUUUGACUUGUGUUGUUGGGUCUUGGUCAAGGUUGAUUUGACUUUGUUUAAGAUCAUUGGAUUUAGGGGAUUGAUGGAAUGUACAUUCCAUCUCCCAAAAUGAAUGAAUGAUCUUAAUUUAGUAAAAGUCCUCUCUGUCCAAUUUGAGUUUUAUCCAUUUCCCCUCCCUCUUCAUCUCAUUCCCCUUCUAUAUGCAUUCAUGUCAUAGACCUAUGAUAUCUCUAUAUCCUAAGGCUAGUUGAUUGCAAAAUCAACAUAAGUAUGGAUGAGAUUAGGCCACCAUUUUUGCAUAUUCUUUUUGUGUGUGGUAUGUUUCAUGAGCAUAGUUCAUCAUACUAUGUCUCUAACAUGCAUUAACACUAAAAUUCUAUUGCCCGACCUCAAAUAGUUGUGACUUCUACAUAAGUUCAAUUACAGCGCUAAAUUUUGACACAAAAGACAUAGCAUUCUAGUUAGUGAGAAUGUAAGUCUCCCCCCUUUCAUAUUAUUGUAUGUAAACUUGGCCUUUUUUCCUUCCUUUGGAAGAUGUCUUGGUUCGAGGAUCCAUGCUUGUGAUAAGUGGUCGAGUGUUCUCCAAAGAAUGACUUAAACAAAAAAGCAAAAGCAAUACUAACUUCUAACUUAUUAACAACUAAAAUUUAAUUUCAAGUCCUUUACUUUCAAUGCAAUUUAAUUUAAGCCUUAUUCAUUUGCCAUUAUUCAUACCAUUCUAAUUGUUUAUGUUAACGUCAUUUUCACUUUGUCCACUUGGACCAUACUUUAUGAUAUAUUUUGCUUGUGUAUAGUGUGCUUGUUUGUGUAGUCUUUGACCAUUAAUAUACAUAAUAAGAACAAAAACCCUAAAAAAGAUCUUGUGUGGACUGUUGGUUUGAUCUGAGACUUGUGGACAUAGAAUUUAGGCAACACCCCCUAUGCAAAGGACUUGGCCAAUGCCAACUUUCAUGUAACCAAGAGCUUAUGAUUUGAAACUUCAUCUGAUACAUCAUUGGACAUCCAUUUGAGUUCAUGUGCAACAUGAUUAUUGUGAAGCUGUUAUUUUGAACUUGUGACUUAUGCAUUGUGAAAUUCAUCUGCUACAUGGGCAAAUUUGAAGAAAGAUCAUGGAGUUGCUAAGCUUGGAUGUGGCUCUCUUUAUUUGAUGCCUUGCUCUUCAAGUUGAUAUUUUGUGCAUUGUUUGUUGCUUGAUUCUAAUGUCCAAGGGAAUUUGGGUUUCUAUAUGACAUUCUUGUUUAUUGGAUUGCAUCCCAUUGGUCAGACCUUUUCAACUCUCAACUUUUAAAUUUAUGCUUAGGAUUAGUCUCUCCAUCUCCUCCCCAUUUCUUUAAUUUCAAAAUCUCUCCCUCCUUUUAAAAUACUUCUUUUCUUGUGCUUGUUUUCUAAACUUAGACCAUUUUGCAAAUUAGAAAGAUUGGCCUUAUGCCAUUGCAUUUUUAAGCUCAUUUUCUUAAUUAAACUUGUAAAUAUACUUAAUUAUACUUGACUUAAAAUUUUUAAAAGACAAAAAGAACUAACUCAUUCAAACCAUUUUUAGGCCUUUGUGCCUUUCAAACUUAAACUUUUGUUAAAAGCAAUGCAUCCACUUUGAAAUUUAUACCACGAACUAUGAGGUUUUGAUCCCUCAUUUUUAUGUUGGUACGUAGGCACAAGUCUGAAGGUAUUGUCAAACACAAAAAUAUAAUUAAUGAAUUCUUUUCUCAUCCCCCCAUUCUAUUUUCUUGCUAACAUCAUUUGUAUAAAAACACAUAUGUACACAAGAAAGGGCUCCCUAGGAGUACCUAGGACACUUUGGGUGUUAAUACCUUCCCUCUGUGUAACCAACCCCCUUAUCUGUAAUCUCUGGAAUUUUAUUAGUUUUGAUUUGAAAACUUCUUAUUUUUGGGUUUUGUUCGUACUUUUCCCUUUUCCCUUGGAAACAAUAAAAGCGCGGUGGCGACUCUUGUUAUUUGAUGUCUUUCUUAUCAAUAGCUUGAUGAUCAUGAAUUUACCGCUACAUAAAUUAAGUGGCGACUCUGCUGGAGAGUAGUCUUCGGUGGGUUUAGCCUACUUUUUGUGUGUAUAUAAUUGUGUAUUUUAUGUAUGUAUAUUUGUUUGUUUGAUAUAAUCUUCUUGUUGUGCUUGGUGAUCUCUGAGUGGUGAGAUAAGUUCUAACCCGAACUUGAGUGCAAUUAAGAUAGAAGGAUGGUAUAGUCAUGUUCGACUUGUGUGGAGUAGUCCUUAACAAGUUGGCUUGAGAUGGUGAUCUCUGAGUGGUGAGAUAAGUUCUAACCCGAACUUGAGUGCAAUUAAGAUAGAAGGAUGGUAUAGUCAUGUUCGACUUGUGUGGAGUAGUCCUUAACAAGUUGGCUUGAGAUCCAUCUACUUAGUGGAUACCCUUUUGGAUUUGGAAAUGUCACACAAGUAUUUGUGGUUAGGCAUUACUAUCUCUGAUUUGGGGUCCGAGAAGCUGAGGACCGUAGAACAUUUAACCCCUCUUGGCCUAUUUAGGACGUAGUUCGGAGACUGUCCAAGUGUAGACUUGAUCACAGUUGUUACACGAUACUACACUCAGAUGAGUUUCUCUUGAGAAUAUUAUGGGUUGAUGAGUCAGUCAUCCUAUCCUAUAAUAUCUGAUAGAUGGAAUUAAGACUCUGGGAACUUUUUAGAACAUGAUCUACAAGUUUUUAUCCUUAGUUAACUCCUUUGGGAUGAUUCUUACCCAGACUCCAUGCUCGUGACUCACAACAAACCCUUGAUUCUUGGUCGAUCCAAUCAAGUCUUGUUAAUAUCAAUGGAACUUGGGUGUUGAUAAGGUUAAAGCCAUAAUCCACCAAAAUGGAUGAUUGAUCUUGAUAAUGACUUGAUUCAUCCCGUGACCUUUGUUUGUUUGCCUUGUGUGUGAUCCCUUAUUUGUGAUUGUUGGAUUCAUGCAUUCAUGCGCAUCAUAACAUUCAUCACGCGAAAAUUUCAAGGAACUGGGGUGUUAUUUGCAAAUAUUCAGACCAUGGAUUAUGGACGAAGGAACACUAAGAAGUACAGUUUCAGAUGUCCUGACUUGAAAGAGUUAAGGAAGCUAGCAUCUUUUGUGUUAAAUCCCUUGGAUUUCAAACAACGCCAUGGGAAGCUUCUGUCCAUCUUGUUUGCUGAUGUGGUUGAAGGACUUUUAAGUGUGUUAGUAUAGUUUUAUGAUCCUCUCUACGGUUGCUUCACUUUUCCUGAUUAUCAGCUAGCGCCUACGUUGGAAGAGUAUGCCUAUCUCUUGGGAAUACAUGUUUCUAACAUAUUUCCGUUUAGUGGAUUGGAAGAGAUUCCCAUAUCUCAUCUUAUUGCUGAAGCUCUUCACUUGAAGAAGUCUGAGAUAGAGGCUCAUUGGGUGAAGAAAGGAGAAUUGUUUGGGUUUCCAUCUGACUUCCUCAUCAAGGAAGCUACUGCCUUUGCUCAAGCCGGUAGUAUGGACGAUUUUGAAGCUAUCUUUGUGUUGCUCAUCUAUGGUUAAGCAAGGUGGAAUAGUGAAGUAUGUACAACUUUUAUGACGAUACUUUUCUCAUUUGGAGCUCACAUAAAAAGUUAAGCAAGGUGGAAUAGUGAAGUAUAUGACUUGACACUUAGAAAAAUUUUCAACAUGUUGAAAUUUCCAAACUUCCACCUCAAAAUUCACCAUGAUACAAGUUCUAAAUGGAAAAGUGUUCAACAUAAGAGUUGUUCCUCUUGAUCUAAGAUUUCCAAAGAGUCCUAAUUCAUUCAUUUUGGAUGAAGUUUGAGGGGUCUACGCAUGGUGUAAACACAGUUGUAUCAGUUGGCAAGAUUCAAACUUCAAAUGAUCAUUUAACUUUGCCUUGCCAUUCAAGCUUCAUUCAGACCUCAGCAUAGUUGGUUUUGGACUUAAUUGAGUUGCUUCAUGGGCCUGUACACGCCCAUGCAAGCAUGAACACGACAUUGCUAAAAUUGGACAAAUUCGCAAGUGUGCAAAUAACAUUCCAUUUUGCUAUAAAUAAAGACCCUCUGUGCUCAUUUCAGAGGACCUUUGCGCGCCAACUUUGCCUCCACACUUCAAACCCUCACAUUUGAAAGGAAAUCCUGAGAACUUUCAUGGUAUUGUAUGGAAACUUGGCAUUUUUUCCUUCCUUUGGAAGAUGUCUUGGUUCAAGGAUCCAUGCUUGAGAUAAGUGGGUUGAGUGUUCUCCAAAGAAUGACUUAAACAAGAAAAGAAAAAGCAAUACUAACUUCUAACUUAUUAACAACUAACAUUUAAUUUCAAGUCCUUUACUUUCAAUGCAAUUUAAUUUUAAGCCUUAUUCAUUUGUCAUUAUUCAUACCAUUUCUAAUUGUUUAUGUUAAUGUCAUUUUCACUUUGUCCACUUGGACCAUACUUUGUGAUGUAUUUUGCUUGUGUAUAGUGUGUUUGUUUGUAUGGUCUUUGACCAUUAAUGUACAUAAUAAGAACAAAAGCCCUAAAAAGAUCUUGUGUGGACUGUUGGUUUGAUCUGAGACUUGUGGACUUAGAAUUUAGGCAACACUCCCUAUGCAAAGGACUUGGCCAAUGCCAACUUUCAUGUAACCAAGAGCUUAUGAUUUGAAACUUCAUUUGAGACAUCAUUGGAGAUCCAUUUGAGUUCAUCUGCAACAUGAUCAUUGUGAAGCUAUUAUUUUGAACUUGUGACUUAUGCAUUGUGAAAUUCAUCUGCUACAUGGGCAAAUUUGAAGAAAGAUCAUGGAGUUGCUAAGCUUGGAUGUGGCUAUCUUUAUUUGAUGCCUUGCUGUUCAAGUUGAUAUUUUGGGAAUUGUUUGUUGCUUGAUUCUAACGUCCAAGGGAAUUUGGGUUUCUAUAUGACAUUCUUAUCUAUUGGAUUGCAACCCAUUGGUCAGAUCUUUUCAACUCUAAACUUUUAAAUUUAUGCUUAGGAUUAAUGUCUCCAUCUCCUCCCCAUUUCUUUAAUUUCAAAAUCUCUCCCUCCUUUUAAAAAACUUUUUUGCUUGUGCUUAUUUUCUAAACUUAGACCAUUUUGCAAAUUAGAAACUUUGUCCUUAUGCCAUUGCAUUUUUAAACUCAUUUUCUUAAUCAAACUUGUAAAUAUACUUAAUUAUACUUGACUUAAAAUUUUCAAAAGCCAUUUUCUUGAUUGAGUAAGUUUGGUAAAAAUCCGGAAACAGCCUUUCAAACUUAAAUUUUUGUUAAAAGCAAUGCAUCCACUUUGAAAUUUAUACCACGAACUACGAGGUUUUGAUCCCUCAUUUUUAGGUUGGUACGUAGGCACAAGUCCGAAGGUCUUGUCAAACACAAACAUAUAAUUAAUGAAUUCUUUUCUCAUCCCCCCAUUCUAUUUGCUUGCUAACAUAAUUUGUUCAAAAACACAUAUGCACACCAGAAAGGGCUCCCUAGGAGUACCUAGGACACUUUGGGUGCUAACACCUUCCCUAUGUGUAACCAACCCCCUUAUCUGUAAUCUCUGGCAUUUUAUUAGUUUUGAUUUGAAAACUUCUUAUUUUUGGGUUUUGUUCGUACUUUUCCCUUUUCCCUUGGAAAUAAUAAAAGCGUGGUGGCGACUCUUGUUAUUUGAUGUCUUGCUUAUCCAUAUCUUGAUGAUCAUGAAUUUACCGCUAUAGAAGGUGACCAAGUCUUUGGUGUUGCCGCUAGGGAGAUGUGCCUAAUAUCUGGUCUUGUAAUUCUUGCAAAAUUCAAGACUCCUAACUUUGAUAGAUACAAGGGCCAUGCAUGUCCUAAGAGCCAUCUUGUUAUGUAUUACCGGAAAAUGGCUUCACAUGUUAAAGACGAUAAGCUCAUGAUCCAUUUCUUUCAAGACAGUUUGAAGGGCGCCCCCUCUAAGUGGUACAUAAGCCUCGACCAAAGUCAUAUCCAGUGCUUCCAAGACUCAUCUGAUACUUUCAUAAAGCAUUACAAAUACAACAUGGAUAUGGCUCCAGAUAGAAGACAAUUGUUGAAUGUGUCUUAGAAAGACAACGAGUCAUUCAAAGAAUAUGCACAAUGCUGGAGAGAGAUGGCCUCUCAGGUUGAACCACCUUUGACAGAAACAUAAUUAGCCGAUUGGUUUAUGGAUAUCGUACAACCAAUGUUCUAUGAGAGGAUGGUGGGUAAUGUGUUUGUAGAUUUUUCCGACUUGGUAGCUGUAGGCAUUAAAGUUGAGCUCAGUUUGAAGAAUGGAAAGAUGAUCAAUGCUGCUGGAGCUUCUAACAACAACAAUGCUAAGAAGUUUCCCGGAAAUUUUCAGAAAAAGAAGGAAGGAGAGACAAGUGUUAUGUCAUCUAGUUGAGGAAGGGGUCAAUCAUGGAGAAAGCAAUAAUGACAGUUCACUCAACAACAACCAGCAUACCCUGUGCAGUAUGUUCAACAACCAUAUGUGGCAGUAAUUGGGACAAAUUUCAACCAACAAAAAGUACAUGUUUAUCAACCAGUUCAGCAAACACCAAUUUAUCAACCCGCUCAGGUUGCUCCUGCAUAUCAACAAGCGCCUACAGCCCCAACAUAUCAACAACCAAAAGCUCAAGCUCCUCGUCAGAAUCCACUGACUCAGAAUAGAAGAUAAGGUGUUAAACCGCCCUUUAGUCCGAUUUGGAUGACGUAUACUGAGUUAUAUCCUUCUUUAUUGCAAAAGGGGUUAGUGGUUCAUAGACCUUUGGGUCCACCUCCUGAUCCUUUGCCUCCAUGGUAUAACCUGUGAUACGGUGAACUAACUUUGUGUUUUUGCUUUGAAAAGCAAUGUUGCGGAUAGCAAGAGUCGCCACCGACUUUUCUUUUAUCCAAUAAGGAAAGGCGGAAAAGAACAGGAAAGACCUUGAUUAGUUGAUUAGAUUUUGAGUUCGGGAGUACAUUACAAAGGGAAGGUGUUAGCACCCUUGUAUCCAUGGUUAUCCAUGGGGCUUCUAAUUGCUUAACUCACUUAUGUUUUCCUUGUUUGAGAAGUGUUUGAGAAUGUGGUUGUUUAGAAUAUUUGAGAAGGAGAGUUAACUUUGUAUGAUUCUUGUACGAUGUAUACAAAGUGUUUUAUCUCGUUUUGUUUGAAAGAUGUGUUAGAAAUAUAACUCGGCGAUGUUCUGGUGCGAGAUGUUUACCAAGUUGUGAUUUUAUCAAAGAUGUUUUUGAGAAAGUGUGAGGUGUGAGAAGUAUUUUAAGCUUGUAGCAGCAUUUAGGUUAUACUAACCAAGGUCUUUAUAGUAUUUUCUAUCCUUAGGAGGGUAACUGUCCUUACUAUUGGAAGAGUAGUCUUAUCCUUUGGAUGUAAAGGGACUCGUGUGGGGUCGUCGAGUGGUCAAUGAAGGCAACAUUUGUAAGGAUACUUAGCAUUCGAAGGACGAUCAUCAUUUAAUCGGGCUACAGCGAAGGGUCAUCGAGAGAAAAAGUCACAUAUUCGAAGGCAUGUUCGAGGGACAGUCAUAUAUUCGAAGCAACGUUCGAGGACUAUGAUUUAUCUUGUAGAGACGAUUGACUUUUCGAAGGGACUAUGACGUAUCUUGUUUGAUGAUGAUGAUUAUCGAAAGGUCUUUGCUAAGGGUAUCCCCACAUUCGCGGGACAUGACCGUACAUAUCGUAAGGCAACAAAGAGAGGGUUACGUAGGAGGUGCAAGUGUGGAAAUGAUUGGAUUCGGAUUGUAUCUGAUNNNNNNNNNNNNNNNNNNNNNNNNNNNNNNNNNNNNNNNNNNNNNNNNNNNNNNNNNNNNNNNNNNNNNNNNNNNNNNNNNNNNNNNNNNNNNNNNNNNNNNNNNNNNNNNNNGGGGGUACAUAAUUUAAAAGGGGAUAUAAAAUAUCUAAAUCUUAAUUAACGAGUACCAAAUUAAAAGGGCAUGCAAAAUAAUAAAACCUAAUUAAACUAAAAAGAAAGAAAUAAAAAAAAAUCCUAAUUAAAUCUAUUACAUAGAAAGUCCAUGACAAAUGAAAUAAAUAAACUAAAUUUAAGAAUGAAUUAAGAACAUUUUUAGUGUAAUUAAAUCUAUUACAUAAAAACUUUUUUUUUAUGAAUUUAUGGAAAAAACUUAGACUAAAUUGAUAGAAAUUUUAAAAGAAAAUAGAAAAAAAAUAUAAUUAAUGGGUUUUAUUUUAAUAAUAGAAAAAUAGUGGUGAAUUAAUUAUAGUGGAAAGGGAGUAACCAUAGUAAAAAUAGUGGAAGGAAGAGCUACCAACGAGCCAUGUUGGUUCAUUCGUUAUUUAUUCGCCUUCAUUAAAAUAUAUAUUAAUUCUACAUGGAUUUUUCCAUUUUGACACAACACCACCGUGCAUGUUACAACUUCCUCUCUUACGGCAAGCUACUUUAUUUUUUCUCAUGCUGUUUCUUUCAUGUCAGUAUAACAAACCUGUAACUUCAUCUUAUAUCAAACCACACACAUAAAAUAAAAUCAUAUGUAAUCAUCAUGCAAUAAUAAAAAUAGCCAUGCACAAAUCAAGAAGCUUAUAUUAUUUUACUCAUGUAUUAGUUCUCUUUACUGCAAGUGAUAAUGAUAAAACAAACCUUACACAUACAUGUUAAAGACAACCAAGGAUUUAUAUUAUCACCAUUAUAUCAUCAUCAUUAUUAUUAUGUAAUAACAACAUGUGAAAUAAACAUAAUCAUGCUAGAAACAACACUCAUAUAAUAAUAAUUAAAUGGCAGAUAUAAUUCUUUAAUCAUGCAAACAGAAUUUCUCCAACAUGCUAUGACAUAUCAAGAACAGAUGCAUACUUGAAUAAAGCAAUAUCAACAUCCACCAAACCAUGAAUACAUCAUCUCAAUAUAUAUAUUAAACCAAUAUUAUUCAUACAUGAAUUAAGGAGUAUUGCAAGGUAAUCAUGCUGGAUGCAAAUUCCCUAAUGAACACUUACUGGGGAUUUGAUUCUUCUGGCUUGCUCACUGUAUGUGUUUUGUUCUUAUUCAGACUAUGAGUGUUUUAUGGUUGCUUCUCUUUUCCCCGCCCGUGAAUCUUCUUGCUUCUGUCUUGCCUUGUGUAUCUUCUUCUGCUGUAUCUCUCCUCUUUUUCGUCUCCCCCCUCUCGCUGCAGCCAUAUGAAGUAUUUAUAAUGGUGUGGAUUAGGGUUUAAUCUUGGUAAAUAUUUGGAUCCCUUCCUAUACGUUAGGGUUUAACCUUGCCAACUAUUUGGAUCUCUUCCUAUACUUUAGGAGAGUUAGAGUUUAACCUUGUUAAGUAUUUGGAUCCCUUCCUAUACUUUAGGAGAGUUAGGGUUUAACCUUGCCAAAUAUUUAUUAAAUACAAAUAUUAUUAUAAAUAAUAAAUAAUUUAAAUAAAAAUUAAUUUGAAUUUUAGUUACAUAAUUGAAUUAAAAUUUAAACCUAUUUCUAUUUUUACUUUCAUCAUUUAAAAAAAAAUCAAAAUUAUUCUUACUUAUAUCAACCAAAAUUAUUUUAUAAUUUAUGGGCUUUUAAAAAAUGUUACUCUUAUAAAUAAAUUUUAUUAAGUAAAAAAUGUGAAUUACUAAAUAAAUACUAUUUAUAAAUAAUGAAUAAAUGGAACAUGAGUCACUAAAUUAUAAAAAAUAGUUAUUAUAAUUUAAUGAGCUUUAACAAAUAAAAUUAAUUUAAAAUUUUAAUUAUACAAUUAAAAUUCAAAUCUAUUUUUAUUUAUCAUUAAAUUAAAACUAUUUUAUUUAUAUAUAUAUAAUUUAUUUAUAUCAUACAGAUAACCAAAAUUAUUAUUAUUUUUUAUAUCUGUAUCACAUAAUAAAUAAAUUAAAAUUUAUAAUUUAUAUGAGAAUGUAUGCUAAUGAAUGAAUGCAAAUGUGAAAUGAAUGCCAUGCAUGAAUCAAUUUAUCAUAAAAAUUAACAAGCAAAUUUUGGGGUAUGACAGCUGCCCCUGUUCAAUAUUCUUAAACCGAGAGAAUUAGAAUGGUAUGUACGCCAUUCGUGAUCUGGAGGUGGAAGAUUAUUGAACACUUAGAAUGCCCCAAAAAUUUGCACUUGUUAAUUAAAAGAUAGUCUUGAUGGAGAUGGGCUUAAAGAUGCCAUCCAGAAAGUUUGAUGAUGAGAGCUUCAGAGUGCGUCGUACAUUAGACCAUAUCUGAAGACAUGGGUGUCACACUGGGUCGUACGCUAGACCGUAUAAUGAGUCAUCCAUUAGGUGAUAUUAGGGUGAGCUGAACCUGAUGAGAUAAGGAUCAGAAUGGGUCAUACGCUAGACCGUAUCUGAGUAGCAGAGUGAGCCGUCCGUUAGGCUGUAUCUGGAGAAAUAAAGAUCAGAAUGGAUCGUACGCUAGAUCGUAUCUGAGUAGUAGAAUGAGCCGUCCGUUAGGCUGUAUCUGGCGAUAAAAAGUAGUCGUACGCUAGACUACAUUUCAGAAUGUACCGUACGCUAGGUAGUAUCUGAUGAGAAGAGCCAGACUGGGUCGUACACUAGACCGUAUCUGAGUUGCAGAAUGAGCCGUCCAUUAGGCUGUAUCUGAGGAUAAAAGAUCAGAAUGGAUCAUACGCUAGAUCGUAUCUGAGUAGCAGAAUGAGCCGUCCAUUAGGCUGUAUCUGAUGAUAAAAGGGGUAGUCAUACGCUAGACUACAUUUCAGAAUGUACCGUACGCUAGGUAGUAUCUGAGGGGAUGAAUAUCCAAAUGGGUCGUACGCUAGACCGUAUUGGAACAGUUGAAGGAACCAUACGUUAGGCUGAAUCAGAAUGAGUCGUACGUUAGGCUAUAUCUGAUAAUAUUUGUAUAUGUUGUAUUUGCAAUAAAUGUCUGGGAUGGGCUUAAAGAUGCCAUCAUUAGGAGGAUAUCAGAAUGCUUGUCAGAAUGAAUAUUCAUAUGGAUUAUAUCUGAAAGAUGUAUCUGAAUCUUGAAUGUAAUCGAUAAAGAUAUCCGUCUGAAUGAAUCUUUAUUUUGACUGUAUCAGGAGGAUAAUUAACCUGGAAAAAAAAGAGUUAGCCUCAUGCCAUGUCAUGAUGCAUGAGAUGUUUUAUGCUCUUGAAAAUAAAUGCGAACAUUGCAUGCAUGUAUAUGCUGUGAAAUGAUGCAUGAAUGAAUUAUGCGUCUGAAAUUUUUUGCCAUGGGAAAAUAAAUCCCGAUAUUCUAGUUGGAGAUAUUUGUAUUGAUGACCCUUUCUUAGCUGGGGAUAUUUGUUUUCUGUCUGAUGGUAGAAAUAUUCAACAAAACCUGACUGGGGAUAAAAGAGAUGACCAGUCUGUCUAGUAGUGCCAAUUUCUUCUGGGAAUAACUGAUUUUGCUGGGGAAUAGGAUUUGCAACCGGAUUUGUUAGAACGCAUGGUUAAACCUUAUCCUUGAUCCUAAAGUCUUUUAGUAAUUGCUAUUUCUAUUUUAUACAUGUAUUUUCGGAUCAAUCAUAUUCAAAUGCAUAUAUUAAUUCAAAUUAAAUCAAUGGACGUUUAUGCAAACAAAACAGAGAAAGUAAAACAAAAGUAUCUUUUUGGAAAUAAAAUUGUAUUGAUUUUGAAAGAGGGCCUAUAAACAAGCAAUUUUAAUACAAAGAGACAGAAAUCCUAGUAAGAGGAAAUUGUCAAGAAAGCAAAGAAAAAACAGUUACGAAAAAAAGUCCUAUUGAUUUUAAUUCUACUAUUGCUAUUAUGUCUUCAAGCAUCUCAUCUCUUGCUGUCGGAUAGAAGUGAUUGACUUGUUCAGUCUCUUUGACUUUGGUGAAGCUGACCAAGAACAGGACAUAGUCAUACGCUUUAAUCCCUAAUUUUUGCCUGGACCGCCUUUUCAGGUUUUCAGUCCACCAGGAUACCCUUUUUUGCCCAAGCCGCCUUUUCAGGUUUUCGACUUGCCGGGUGUACAUUUUUAUAUGUUUAUCCCUAAUUUUUGCCCGAACCCUUUUGGUUCGCCGGGAUGCCCUUACUUUUGCCUAGNNNNNNNNNNNNNNNNNNNNNNNNNNNNNNNNNNNNNNNNNNNNNNNNNNNNNNNNNNNNNNNNNNNNNNNNNNNNNNNNNNNNNNNNNNNNNNNNNNNNGACUAAUUUCGUGGGUAAUGGGCUUGGAAUGAGGGAGACCCAAGUCCAAAAUAAUUUGUUAUAUUUUAUUUAUUUAUUUAUUUUAAUUAUUUAAUUAAUUAAUUAAUUAAUUAAUUAAAUUUUUUUUUCUUUUUUUUUUUUAUUUUUUUUUUAGAAAAAAUGAUGGGUAAUUUUUGGGGUAUGACAGCUUCAAAGCAACUUGAUACUUACUGAUAUCAAUCUUGAGGAUUCGAUAUUUACUGAUAUCGAAGAAAGCGGGGCCAUUUACCGAUGGCGGCUAAACUGGGCAUUCGAUAUUUACCGAUAUCGAAGAAAACAAGGCCACUUACCGAUGGCGUCUCCACUUGGGGAGGAAAAAAGAAGAUACUUGCAAAUGGAAUCAGACAAGACGUUUACCGACGACUCCUGGGGAUUUGAUUUUAUCAACAGGGAAAUACACACGAUCAGACAUUUACCGAUGACUGGGAUGAGAUUCGAUGUUUACCGACAUCGAAAGAUGAUGUUUACCGACAUCAAAAAUGACCAGACAUUUACCGAUGGCUGGGAUGAGACUCGAUGUUUACCGACACUGAAAGAUGAUGUUUACCGACAUCAAAAAUGACCAGACAUUUACCGAUGGCUGGGAUGAGACUCGAUGUUUACCGACACCGAAAGAUGAUGUUUACCGACAUCAAAAAUGACCAGACAUUUACCGAUGUGACAUUUACCGAUGGCUGGGAUGAGACUCGAUGUUUACCGACACCGAAAGAUGAUGUUUACCGACAUCAAAAAUGACCAGACAUUUACCGAUGGCUGGGAUGAGACUCGAUGUUUACCGACACCGACGGAGAGGUGAACACUUUACUGGGGAAGGAAAAACAAAUACUUGCAACCGGAAACCAGACAGGACGUUUACCGACGACUCUACUGGGGAUCUCUAGUUGGGGAAUUACCAGACAUUUACUGAUGACUGGGGAAGGAACUUGACGUUUACUGACAUCGAAAGAUGAUGUUUACCGACAUCAAACAAAGGCGACCAGACAUUUACCGACGACUGGGAUGAGACUCGAUGUUUACAGACAUCAAAAGAUGAUGUUUACCGACAUCAAAGAAGGAACACACGCGGGUGCCGACAUGACACUUACCGGUAUCACGAGAAUGACAUCUUAAAUACGUCAAGGCAAGGCUGA